rnacentral:lncRNA from 1 species
AAAUUUAAGAAGAGAUGCUCGAGAGCAAUGGGGCUUUCACAGGACAUGAGGAUUUCAGCGCUACCUUCUUGGAUUAAGAAUUUGCUGCUCAGAUCAGAGAUUCUUGAUUUGGUAGAUGUCAACGAUUUGGAGAAUAUAGUCUCGGACCUAGCUAAUGAUGGCUUUAACGAAUUGAUGUUUCUAGUUAUUUUCAGCUGCAAUGAGAUGAAAUGUCUCGUGAACUCUUUGGAAAGGACAGGAAGAGUAACUCUCCACAAGUUAGAAUGGUUGUUUAUACAUAAAAAUCAGAAUUUUGUUGAAAUAUGCCACGGUCAACUCCCAGCCGGGUGCUUGAGCAAUGUAAAAAGGAUAGAUGUGGAAGAUUGUGGCAGUAUGUUGAAAAUUUUACCAAGUCAUUUGGUACAAAGCUUUCAAAAUCUUCAACGUUUGAGGGUAGAAAGUUGUGACUUGCUGGUGUCUGUAUUCGAAAUUGAAAGGGUUAAUAUUGCAAAAGAAGAAAUCGAGUUGUUUUCGUCAUUAGAGAAACUGACUCUGAUCGACCUGCCUCGGAUGACAGACAUAUGGAAGGGUGACACUCAAUUUGUAAGCCUCCGUAACCUGAAGAAAGUAAGAGUGGAAGAGUGCGAUGAGUUGAGACAAGUAUUUCCGGCAAAUCUUGGGAAGAAAGCAGCAGCAGAGGAGAUGGUACUGUACCGGAACAGAAGAGAUCAGAUUCACAUUCACGCCACAACCUCAACCUCCUCUCCGACUCCGAGUUUGGGAAACCUGGUUUCUAUUACAAUUCGGGGAUGUGGGCAACUACGACAACUCUUCACAACCUCCAUGGUCAAAAGCCUGGUGCGACUUGAAAGCCUAGAAGUAAGCAGCUGCCCAACACUGCAAGAAAUAAUCAUGGAUGAUGAUGGAGAAGUGGGACUGCAGGGAGCAUCAACAGAGAAGAUCACGUUUCCAAGUUUGUUCAUCAUACAACUCUGUCACUUAGACAGCCUCGCUUGUUUCUUUUCAGCAGGUUCACAUGCUACUAUUGAAUUCCUAACUUUGGCGGCUUUGCUAAUAAUUGAUUGUCCAAGCAUGAAGACCUUUGGUUAUGGAGACCAACUGACACCCAAGCUGCUGAAAGGUGUGUUAGUAAAUGGUGAAUAUCGCUGGACGGGUAACCUUAACCACACCAUUCAACAAUACGUGUACAACGAGAAGGUACGUCAAGUUAGCAAUUGCUUGCCCAUUAAAUUCCUUGUUUUUUUUUUCUUAAUUGUAUUUGUAUGUGGUGGUAAAAUAAUUUUCUACAUCUACUUAUACUAGCACACCAUUUUAAUUUUAUUUUUCAUUUGGGGCAGAAAAUUCGGGAGAAAGAACCAAUGAAGUCAGGAAUUUCAUCUGAGACUACUUCCUCUGACACUGAGAAUUGAUUGUGUAAAACAAACGGUAUGCAUGCGUAAAAUUUUACUAAAUUCCCUAGAUUUUGUCACAUAUUUAUCCUUUGACAUUGCUCUAACUAAUCCAAAUACUUGAUUUGUUUUCAGAACCAUCAUAUAAGGAGCGUUGACAGGUUCGCAUACAUCACCAGUUUAUUGAAUUUCAUUCUCCUUUUUCAUGUCUUAUAUAUUAAAUGCACAAAAGAAUUUCAUGUAUUUUCUUCGUUCGGGAUUGUGCAUGAUGUUAUUUAUUCUGGUUUCAAUCUCUCAGGUAUGCCAAGCCCAGAUGCCAGAUUGCUUGGGAUGUUAAAAUAAUAAUUACUUUAGUUCGUGGAGCUGCCUGUAAAAAUUUGGUAUCCAUAAUGUAUGUUGUUUGUUUAGAUAUUAAACAAUUAGAGUUUGUUAACCAUAGACGUAUUCUCAAUGUAAUAAGUGUCGGCAGGAAAGUGCUGAUGUCAAUUCUGAAAAAUAAAUGUAAUUUGGUAUUACAAGUGAGAAAAAUAAUUGUGAAUCCUUAUUUCUUUUGUUUGCACUUUGUUAAUAGUCAAUUUAAGAGAUACCUUAAUGAUAUUCUCUUCUUCUAUUUCUUCUAUUCUUUAAUUGUUUUUCAUAGUAAAAAAAAAAUUAAAAUUAUUUGAUAUCCUAGUAACCUACUUUUAGAGCCUGCUAAUUUAGUUGCAGUUUUGCAGUAUUGAGUUACUGAAUUAAAAAAAUUAGAUUUUUCCUCUUUCCAGAUCAACGCAUGCUAAUGCAACAUUGCUUUCUGGCAAUAGAACAGGCUGCCAAUGGAACACAAAUUUAUAAGUUUCGGGAUAAAAUUUUCAUUAACUAAUAAAAAGCGGAAUGACAAUUUCCUAGUAACAGAUGCUGAAUCUGUAGCCACAUUUUCUUGGUAACCAUUUUUCCAAAGUUCAAAGCUUCUCUGCUACUUGUGCCCAAUCCUGUCUCAAGCCAAUCUCAGAAAUAACUCUGAGAAGAUGCCCUGCCAUCAGAGAUCAAUCAAAAGGCCUUCAGGAUUUGGCUGACAUAUAAAUGCUUGAAGCAAAAUUUUACCUUCAGCAGCAGCUGCACCAAGAAAAUGCACAACCAUUUGAUCAUUAUCAAAUGCAAAAUGAACAGGCACAAGCAGAGAAACAGGUUUCAGAAUUGGAGCAGCGGCUCCGUGGGGGCCGGUGGGAGCUUCACUAUUGGAGGGUGAGAACAGAAAUCGGGCCAUCAUCAUUCUGAUUUCUGAAGAGUUUAUUGUGUUUCUAUCAUGAGAUGAUUAAGUGCGUUGACUAUGUUCUGGUGUUGUGCUGAAUGUUUAUUUCAACAUAACUUUGUCUGGAACAACUUGUGUUUGGAGUUUUUAGUUUCACAAAGAUAUUAUUUGCGUACUUUAUUUCAGUUUAAUUUCCAUAGAUGACUUUUAUACGGCUUAUAUAAAUCUUGAUUUCUGCGGGGGUUAAGUUUGUGUUUAUUACAUACGCAUACAUACAUAUGAAAAGACCAAUAUGCUCAGGCUUUGCAACAUAAACUCGGGUGAGUCCUCUAACAGUCGUUUUGCCUCUUAUUUUUUCGAUAAAUCUUAACAUUUGACUCCAAAGUGUCACGUGGAACUCAUAUAUCGGAUUAUGAAUUUCUUAAUUUCUGAAUUAAUUAUUACUUUAUUGUAUCAACACUUGGGGAAAUUCCACACAGCAACACAAGAAGUCAUUAAAAAAUUCAACAGGUUGCCAAUGGGAGUAGAAAUUUACAGGUUUCAGAAUAAAAUAUUUUCAUUAAUUGAUAAAAUAUUUGAAUGGAAAUACUAGAAUUAUUAUUCUAAAUGAAUGGGUAAGAAACAAAAAACUAAAUCUGAAUUUCGUAGCUCGUACUGUUUGUGGUGAAAAAUAUGACGACGAGGAAUUCAUGAGUAGAAAGGUGCUCCCCUCAUCAAAAACUAGCUCAUCAUGGGUUUUCAUCCGCAAGGAGCCAUGUUCUGGUCGCUCGAGUGCUUCGCUUGGUUGGGGAUAGGCGACGAGAGGCCCUGUUCGAAUAUGAUCGGUCUUGACUGGUCAAAGAAUCGGGCCUAGGUCAUGGGUAUCUAGGAUGUUGGUUUUUCCCUAAGAAUUCGGGGCAUGAGAUCCACUCAAGGGCACUCACCCACGAUGGUGCAACCGACCCAGAAAUGAUUGUGGAGAUAGGGCCGCAAAUUUCGGAUGGGUAUAAACGACACAGGGUACAAGUUUUUCCAAGAAAAAAGACUCAAUUAGUGACUUGAACGUUAGGGGGUUAUCGCCAGAAAAACAUCUAGCAUUACUAAUAUGACCAAUAAUAUAUUACGUGAGUUAUACUCUAAUCUGGUAAUAUAAUAACAAUUCUUACCAAAAAUUUAUCAACUUAAAAACAAUGUUGGGUACAUUUUCUUUUAUGUUAUGAUUACAUACCCACACCCAACUCCAAGGGCGUAGUCGGGUUGGUAACAACAUGAAGCUUGUAGCAGCUAACCACUCGGGUUCGAGUCUUGGGGGAGAUAAGGAGAACAUAAAAUUGUUUGGGUUUGGCCCACCCCCUUACUUUUAAAAAAAAAAAAAGAUACCCACACCUUCAAUGAUGACUAUAAUGCACAAAUAUACAUUUAGCUUCACAAAAAUUGACACACAAACCCUCGAUUAUUUGAAAUGAUUUAAAUUUAUUGGAAAUUGUUUAUUUUGUGUGGGAAUAAUUACACAGGUCAAGCGUCAUCAAGAACUCCUUAUAAAAAAUUGAGGAGCCAUGGAAUAACGAACAUGCUAGGUUGGGGAAUUUUGAUGAUAAUUGGAGCUAUAUUAGCUCGAUACUUCAAGCAAUGGGAUCCAAUUUGGUUUUAUUCACAUACUUUGGUUCAGUCACUGGGAUUUGUACUUGGCGUGGCUGGUGUAAUUUGUGGACUUGUGCUGGAAAAUAAAUUCGAUGCCGAUGUUUCAACCCACAAAGGUCUUGGAAUCUUCAUACUUGUUCUUGGUUGCCUCCAGGUUUUUUUAUGGUCACACUAUUUAGCAAUUUUUGGACUUUCUCUCUCUCUCUCUCUCUUUUUCUGUUUGAUGCUCACACUUCAUAAAUUUCUAUUUAUUUAUUUAUGUUGAGUGAUUUUCAAGUAAUUUUAUAUAAUUCCUCACUUGAAUUUAAGUCUUAAAGAAGAUUUAAGCUUUGUUAAAAUUUAAUAUAUCUUACUAAUUGUGAUGAAAUAUAUUAAACAGUGACAGAUUACAUCUACAUUUUUUAAAAUAAAUGUGAGAAAAUAUUAAAGAGUGACGACAUAUAACUAGGGAUGGCAAUGGGGAGGGGAGGGGAGGGGACCAAUCUCCCCGUACUCAUCCCCGAUAUUUUGCGUAUGUCCCCGUCCCAUCCCCGUCCCCAUCAGAAUUACUUGAGAGAAUCCACAUCCCCUCCCCGAAUAAUAACAGGGGAUUCCCAAGGGUCCCCGAUCCCCGAAUAACUAAUACAUUUUUUGUUUUCAAUUUUGAGUUAAUCAUAUUAAAAUAAAAAAUUCAAAUAAAAGUAAAGUUUGAAAUAUAUCUUACAUUAAUAUCCAUUACAAAAGUCACAUACAUUAAAUUAGUAAGUAACGCAACAUGUAAGGGAUACAAACUUCUUUUACAAAUUAUCGUGAAUAAAUUAAUAGUCUAAUGUAAAAUUAUUAGAAAUAAAAUCAAAUUUAGAUUCAAAAUUAACUUUUUCAAUGGUGGCGUGGCACUUUAUAAAUGUGGACUAUUCCUUUUACAGCACAAUAGUUAAGUCGGAGCAAAUCAAGAGCAAAUAUUAUAUUAGAUUAAAUUAGAUAUUAAAAUUGUGAUUCGCUGUGGGCAAUUAUAACAUCUAAAAAUAAAUAUAAAAAAUAGAUUUAAGUUUAAAACAUUUAAUGAAUAUUAAAAUUAAAACAAAAUUUUUGGGCUAAUAAAAUUUACCAGGUUUUUUUAAUAUCCUAAAUAAAAAUUUAGGACUUUAAUUAGUUAAUUAGGUCUAAAAGUUUAAUAAUAUAAAUAUAUUGAUAUUUGUUAUUUUUACCAAUAUUUAUAAUUUUAUAAUUCAAAUUUUAUUAUUUAUUUACUAGUAAUUUUAAAAAAUAAAAAUAAAAUUAAAAAUUAAAAUGGGGAAAUGGGUAGGGGAUGGGGAUUCCACCUCAUCCCCGUCCCCUCCCUGAAUAAGAAAUUGGGUAAAAAAAUGUUCCCGUCCUCUCCCCGAAUAAGAAAUUGGGUAUGAAAUUAUCCUCAUACCCUCCCCGAAUGGGGAAAAUCUCCGAGGGUACCCGUCCCCGUGGGGAUUUUUACCAUCCCUACAUAUAACUCGCCCCUCCAACCCAAGGCCUUAUUUUAACUUUCGUUUCAUAUAAAGCACACAAUUUUACACUUUGGACCCCAUUACUUUGGACGAUUUAUGUUUUACCCCUCAUCUCUCUAAAUAUCUUUUUAUAGAGAUUGACCUUUCUAAAUUUAUUACUUUUAUGAUGCUUUUUGGCCACUUCGAAUUUUCAAUUUUAGCUCUGCCUUGUUUCUAGCCAUAAUGUGCAGGAGGGAACUAAAUAAAUUUGUAGGGUGGCCGAGUCCAAGGAAAAAAAAAUCGGGGGAAAAUUAAAUAUUAAAUGAAAAUUUCCCCAUCUCAUAUUAAUUUUACUUUUGACCCCAAAUUUUAUACAUAAUAUUUUCACAGCCUAGUAUAUUGUAUGAUUUAUCAAUUAUAGCCCCACUAUUGGCCUCUGAAAUUUUACCGUUUUGAUGUUAUAGCCUAGUCAAGUAUAUAAUUUCUCCAUUAUGCUGCCGUCAAAGCAAAAUUCUUAGAAAAUUUACAAUACUUUAUUUGAUGAACCAUUAACAAGUUUUUGUCCUUUUUUUUUUUCUAAUUAUGUGUUACUAGAUUAUUUAAUUUAAAUUUAUAUAAAAUGUAAAAUGUUAAUGAUUUGUGUUAUGUAGGUAAUGGCAUUUUUGGCCCGACCCAACAAGGAAUCAAAAGUGAGAAAAUAUUGGAAUUGGUACCAUCACAACAUGGGGAGGAUUCUGAUCAUAUUUGCAAUAGCAAAUAUUUUCUACGGAAUUCAUUUGGGUGAAAAAGGAAAGGGAUGGAAUGCUGGUUAUGGGAUCACUAUUGCCAUCUUGUUUUUGAUCGCUAUUGUUCUAGAAAUAAGGAUGUGGAUGAGGAAAUAAAAGUUCUUUACUUCAUCAAAAAUGCUAUUUGGACCAUUAAAAAAAAUAUUACAAUUUUUUUUUGUCAAAGUAGUAUUGAUGUACCUUUUAAUUAUUUUAUAUAUAUUGAUUAAUGACUGAUUUAUGUUUGUUUUUUGUUUCACUCAUAAAUUCUACUGAUUUUUCUAAAGACAAUGAAAACAUAUGAUUAUAAUUAUUGGAAUAUUUCAUUUUUAGUUUGUUAUAUCAAAUUUUACUUUCAAAUAUUCUCAGAAUCAACACAAAUAGAUAAAUGGGAAAAUGAGUAAAACUACUCCUCUUGUUUAAUAAAAUCAAGCACGAGGGGGUAUCGCUUAUUUUCCCUAGAUAAACCAAUGCCCUAUCUAAGUUUUGAAAAUUAUGUGAUGCAUGUAUAACAUCAUAACAACCCUUGUGCCUUAGAAAAAUUUUAAAAACGUCUUUGCUGAUUUUUAAACUUUUGGGUUUUUACCUCUUGUGAAACUAUUGCAAACUUGCCCCACCUACACUCGGUAUAUUGAUUUGUACUAGUCAUGCUCUCAAUUAGGACUAAUUUCUCGAUUGGCAAUAUUUUCAUCGUGCAAAUGAUGUUGCCUUAUGCCAAAACUUUUCAAUAUGAAAUGAGAAAGAAAGCAACACUCCACCUCAAUUGUCCCACUUGAGGUCCUCUUGUUGUAAUAAAGCUCAAAAAGUUUCAACUACUUAUCUAAGAUUGGUACCUUUUGUUUUGUUUGCAUCCCCACUACACUUUAUUCGUCCAUUCAAUAAUUUUCCUAAUGUCAGACAACCAAAUAAUGUUGAAAUUGAAUAAACAAUCAAAUUGAUGAUGGGGUUGAAACUCUAACUAAUUAAAAAAAAACUACUAAAUUGAUUGUUCUUUUAAAUAAAUAUGAAAUUAAUGAACACAAUUGGUUAUUUAUGAAAUUUUUUUUUUCUGAUGGGGACAUUCUUAUUUUAUAAAGCCCGAACUCGAACGAAAACAAUAAAUGUAUAUCAUUGUAUGGUUAGAUUUUAAAUCCGCAUUUUCACUAAGAGUUGACGUCUACACCGAAAACUAACUAAUAGAUAAUUAUAAUAAUUAAAGUGUAAAUCUCAUUAAAGUAAACUCCAUUUUUGGACUCAAAUUUACUCAGACUCCACAUUUGGAGAGCUGAUACUCAUCCAGAUGGGUUGCCAUAAAUAAAAUGAACCUUGUAAUUAUCUGUUAAGUGACCUGCAAGCGCCUAAUUAUCUGCUGACCAGUCAAACGUUGACCAAAAUUCUCUUGUUACUGUAGAAACGAAGCAGAGUCCUAGCCCAGGUGGGCCCCACAAGGCUGCGUUGGAUUUCGGAUAAAGACAACAAUUUCAUAAAUUAAGUACUAAAUUUAAAAAUUCCCCAAUAAAUUCAUCCCGUCACUGGCAUUCUGUCAAUUCUUUGUCCAUUUGCUUCUCAAUUGAGUCUCACACCAACCACCACGUCUCUGGUCUCCUAUAAAUAUGUUCUAGCAGUGACUAUUAUUGUAUCACUAUUCACUUACAAACUUGAAAAAAAUCACUAGGGUUUAAUCUUUCUCUAAAUGUGAAUUUCAUUUGUAAGCGUCAUCAUCAGAUAAUCACUCUGAUAACCUUUUUUUUGUGGGGUUUUUUCUUUUUUAUUUUCACAAUUGCAUCAUGUAUACGUAUCAUCUACACAUACAUAUAUAGCUAGAAGCUUGAUUAUAUAUAGUUAUUAGAUCGAUUCUGAUUAGUCAAGGGUUUGUUAGAUCACAACGUUUCCAAAAGUUUUUUUAUUAGGGUUUCUAACCAUGAUAUUUUUUUGCAAAAGUUAUUUAUCAGUUGAUCAUGAGAUAAAGAUCUUGAAAUUGCAUUUUGAUAUGAAAUUCUGAUACAUGAUGCGGAUGCAAUUUUGACCUAUUUAGUAGUUAUAUUAUGAUCUUAAUUCUGGUGGCUUUGUUUUUCAUUUUUUUUUUUUUUGCUUUUGAAUUUGAAGGUUUUGUAGGGAUUUGCAGUUAUGGAUAAGGGCAAGAGACCAAUCCAAGAAGAAGAAAAUUUGUCAUCUCCUCUUGAUGAUUAUCAUACAAAUAAUAUGAUCUUACCUCCAACGCCACUAGCUCCACCGGGUUUCAGUGUUUUGAAUUUUGAAGGAUCAGGUGAUAGAAAAAUAUGAAACCCUAGCCAAACAAGUUAUAAGUUAAUUUAGAGAUGAUUUUAUUUAGUUCUUUUCUUUUUUUUAAAAAAAUUAGUAAACAUUAACUUUUAAGUAGAGCUUGAAUAUAUGUGGUGCAGGCAAAGAAACAACAGCAGCUUCUGCUGUGGAUGACAUGGAUCAGGUGGCCAAGGAAGAUUUCUUUUCCAAAUUCUUGAGCGUGAGCGUUGCUGGAGUUCCUGUCCCCUCUAUGGAGCAAUAUUCUAUGUCGUCGGCAUCAAACACCGGAGUUUUGCCAAUGGCUCAAGCUGAUGAUUAUCACGAUGAAAUGGCCGAUCCGAUACUGCCAAUUUCACACAAACUUGCUGGCAAUAAGCCACCUCCGGCAACAGCUGAUGAUGACAAAGAUAAACCACUUGUGUUCAAAAAAACCAUGCCUCCUCAUGAGCUGGCUCAACUAGCCAUAUUUGAUCCUAAGCGAGCAAAGAGGUACAUAGAUUUCUUUCAAAAUUAAACUUACUAUCGUUGCUAUCCAUACACUCUUUUCUUGUGCUAUUAGUGACUUAUUUCUCUUCAUUUUAGUUUUACUUUAAUAUGCUGAUAAGUAAAUGUGUUAUUAUUAGCACCUCUAUGGUGUUCAUUUCUCAAUUCACAAGUGGUACCCAAAAUCUAUUUGAUACAUUUUUUAUAAAAAAUAUAGGUUCUAUAUAUGUUUUCUUAGUCGUAUAUACGCCAAUGAUCAUCAAAUCUAUGUCUAAAUGGAUCUGAAUUCAUUAAUUGAGAAAUAUAGUUGUAAGAAUACAUUUGUAUCAAUAUUUUAUAUAUCUAAUAAUAGUUGUUCAUGUUUUGGUAGUACUAAACUUCAAUCUGCAUUUUGGUUUAAAUAUAACACAUGAUGUUAUAUAAUGUUGUCAAACAUUGAAAUGGAACAUUAGACAUGAAUUAGAUAAGUAUUUCGCGAACUCCGUGAUCAUUAACGCUUGUUUUCCACGUAAAUAACGAUGUCUUUUGGAUGAAAAAGAUACUAAAAAUAGAAAUUUGGAUAAAGAUUUUAUGUAUAAAAUGUAAUUUUAAGUUAAACUUUCAAUUCAUAGAAUCUAUGUAAGAUUAUAUGUGAAAAUCAAAGAACUAAUUAGAAGAGUGUUUAUUGAACAUGUAUUUGGUAUUCAUCUAGAUUUUCAAAUUAAAGUCCAGAGACUAGCAGUCACAGAAUAAUGAUCUAUAGAAGUUUCCUCAAUUCGUCUGAUUUAUUCAAACUUUUUGUACUCUGUCCAUGGCUUGAUUUGUUUCAACUGUUAUCGUCUUUUGAUCUAUAUUUGUCAUGUAAUCAUGCAUUUUCAUACUUCCUGUAAAUGCAUAUGAUGAUUAUAUAAGCAGGUCUAUAUGCUUGCAAGCAAAAAUGAAUUUUAAUUAAUCCUAUUUGUAGGUUUUAUAACAAAGGUUAAAAGAUUGUUUCUAUAUCAUACUCUAUGUGCUCCUUUGAAUAUGUGUCAUAGGAUCGUGGCAAACCGGAUGUCAGCAAUUAGGGCAAAGGAACGGAAGAAGCUGUACAUAUACAUGCUUGAACAUAAGAUGCAUAAUUUGCGAUCUAAUUCAACUACAUUGACUGCUCAAUUGACCCUAUUGGAGGUAUUUAAUUGUCAUAUAAACCUGUAGUUUAUAGACUAUAUGUAGGGUAUAUGCAGCAAUGAUUUAUAUAUCUGUUCAUUCAAUGUUAUUUUUUAAGACAAGAAACCGCUUCAUAUGUGAUAUAUGUUGUAUCUCUAAAAACAUUUUUGUCUACUAAUUACAAGCAGACAGAAAGCAAUUCAUUGGAUGCUGAAAAGGCCGUGCUGAAACAUCGAUUGGAGAUCACGUUGCAAAAGAUUCACUUGCAAGACUGUAAGUAAUUCUUCUGUCUCCUUUGCUAUAUAUAUCCUUACACUUCUCUUUGUUUGAUUUAGUGUGUGUCUGUUGCUGUGUGUUAUUUGUGAAUCAGUUAUUGACUCCAUGCAUAUAAAUAGAGCAUAAUGAUGAGGAAAAUUAUGAUAUUAUUAAUUGUGUUUAUAUUCAUGCUGUAGCUUCAUUAUCAUUGUUGAACCACGCGAAGUCUUGCUUUCUAUAAUGUUAAUGAUAAUGGGAGAUUAAAUAUUAUAUAAUCGUUUUCAGUGCGUCGUGCUCCCUCAUUUUUAAAAUGUAGAUUCGGAUCUUAUAAUGUUGUAAAAUUUCAAUUCUGCACUUUAAAAAUAUGAACGUUUGCAUCAAAGAAGGAGAAGUACAUAUUUCUUCAAUUGAAUCUUUAUUGUAUUAUUUGAUACAUAUAUAGAACAUUAAUUAAUUUCUUCUGACCUUUCCUUUUGGCAGGGUUGAAUGAUCAAAUAAGAAGUGAAAUCCAGCAUAUGAAAACCGUGCUUGGACAAAACAUACCUAAUCUUGGAGCCCAUAUUGGAUUAUCCAGAAGCAAUAGCUAUCGGGACAUAAAUGCUUCCAUAGGCGCCGCCGCACAACUGCUUCCAGAGCUCCAGCUUCAGAACCCGUAUCUGGAGCAACAACCACAGUAUGUUUUUCAGCAGCAGCCAUAUCUCGGGCUAAACAAUUUUGGAUUUCAGAAUGAGCAAGGAGAAUGCAGCCAACUUCAGCAGCAGCUGCUAUACCAAGAGAAUCCACCGCCACUUGAUCAUUACCAAAUGCAAAAUGAACAGGCACAAGGCCACCAACUUCAACAACAACAACAGCUGCCGAAAUUUUGAGCAGCUCCAUGCUGGGAACUUCAACAUUGGAGAGUGAGAACAGAAAUGAGGCAUCGUCAUUCUAUGGAUUUUAUAGGAUUCCUAUUAUCGGAUGAUUAAGUAUCUGUGUUAAUUUAUUAUGUUGUGGUUUGCUUAUUUCAACAGAACUUUAGUUUGUUUGUGUUUGGAGUUAAUUUUAAUUUCAGAAGGAUAUAAUAUGAUAUGCUGUAUAUCAGUUAUUAUAAUUUCCAUAAUUGCUUUGAUCGAUGUUGCUUAAAUCUUGGUUUCUGAGGGUCUUAAGUUGGUCUUUGCUCUAUAUAUGUGUGUGUGUGUUCGAAUUUAGAAUUUUAAAGUAUGAAAAAGUCUAAGAAAAUUCAUAAACCGUGUGGUUUAUUCGCUUAAAGUUUUAAAUCUCUUAAUCCCCCGGUUUUCAAACUUUUUUAGACUUUUCUCGUCUUUAUAUAUAUAUAGUCAUUCUCUAGUGCAAAUACUCUUAUUUUUUUCUUCAUACAGAUACACUUUUAAGCCACGUGGUUUAAUAGAAUCGGAUUUUAACAUUAUUAAAUUGCACGGCUUAACAACGUGUCUGUAUUAAAAAAAAUGAUGGCGUCUGUACCUGAGAAUCAUUAUAUAUAUAUAUAUAUAUAUAAUAUUAAAUUAGUUAUUUGCACGUCAUCAUUUUAGCACUGAUAUAUAUGAAUUUUAUUCUCGCUUUCUUUCUUGAUGAUGUACAUAGACAUAUUAGCUAUAAAUAAAUAGGUUGUAAUCAUACUUGUUAAUUAAUAGCUUGCAACAAAGUUCCAAAGUACAGAUUAGUUAAGGCGAACACAAAAAUCAAAUGUUUAAUCACAGUUCCAUUCUUUUUGCUUCUUCUGUACAAUCCUUUUGGUAUAGAUAAAAGUUAUAUUUUAUAUUUUAACGGUAAUAAUGCUAGAACUACUAACCCUUUUGUACAGGGAUCGGAGUUUGUUGCUCUAUUCUCAAGACAACAAUAAUAAUUUAAAUAUAUAUAUAUAAUUUUUGUAAAAAGCACCAGAUUACUCUUCUUAACUUCCCCAUAGAAAAUAAUAUAUAUAUAUAAUUAUUUCAUGUAUUAAUAAAUUAAUAAGGGAGUCAAAUUCAAUGUAUAGACGUUAAUAAAUUAAUUAGUAAGUGAGUCAAAUUCAAUGGAUAAAUAUUAAUUAAAAAAGAUAUAUAGUUUCAAAAAAUUAAUACAAAAAGUUUCAUGCCAAGAAACUACUAAGAUACUUAAGAAGUUAGAAAUAUUUUGGUUUCAAUAAGAAGAUGGUUAUCCUGAUCAAUUAUUACAUACCUGCAAGUUAAAAGAUGUGGUUGCAAUUUUAAAGAAUAAAUCAUUGUCACAAGUAACUUUAAAAAGAUAUUUUGUUUCAUCUUAAUUAUUUAAUGUAACAUGACAUAUAUUUUAAAAAUAUUNNNNNNNNNNNNNNNNNNNNNNNNNNNNNNNNNNNNNNNNNNNNNNNNNNNNNNNNNNNNNNNNNNNNNNNNNNNNNNNNNNNNNNNNNNNNNNNNNNNNAAUUAAAACUAGUCCCAAGUUGUUACCACAAUUUUUUUAGUACUAUGAAGAGGUUAUUCCUAUAUAGAGUAUUCCUAUUUUGGGGUUCUACUGUAUAUAGUUUUCUAGUCCGGAAUUGAAAGAGCGGGAAGAGUCCGAAAAAACUUUAAAACAUGGGGAUUAAAAGAUUUAAAAUUUAAAGCGAAUAAACCCAACAGCUUAUGAGUUUUCUCAUACUUUCCCGCACUUUAAAAUUUUGGAUUCGAUUAUAUAUAUAAUGCGUUUAGUAUUAAAUUGGUUAUUUGCACGUCAUCAUUUUAGCACCUGAUAUAUAUGAAUCAUUUUUUUAUUCUCGCUUUCUUUCUUGAUGAUGUGCAUAGACAUAUUAGCUAUAAAUAAAUAGCUUGUAAUCAUACUUGUUAAUUAAUAGCUUGUAUCUAUAGAUACAUCUACUUUCUUGCAACAAAGUUCCAAAGUACAGAUUAGUUAAGGCGGACACAAAAAUAAAAUGUUUAAUCACAGUUCCAUUCUUUUUGUUUCUUGCGUACAAUCCUUUUGGUAUAAAUAAAAAUUUUUAUUUUAUAGAGUAAUAAAAAAAAAAGUACCACAAUGCUAGAAUUAUAAUGGUAACAGUGCUAGAACUACUAACCCUUUUGUACAGGGAUCGGAGUUUGUUGCUUUAUUCUCAAGACAACAAUAAUAAUUUUUAAAAAAUAUAUAAUUUUUGUAAAAAGCACCAGAUUACUCCUCGUAACUUUCCCCAUAGAAAAUAAUAUUUAUGAAAGCAAGUAGCCUUGAGAGCAAAGGCAAGAAUGGAAGCAUUCCUCUUGAGCAUCAUUUCUUUGUUUGUUUGUUCUUUUUUCUUUUGCUUGAUGUAGCUGCUUAAUUUUUCUUUAUCUACAAUCUUCGUUUCUAUUCUUUUCUAUCUCUUAUGGUACACUCUUACAAAUCAACCAUUGGUUUAUGAAAAUCACGGUAUAAUCCAAUUGAUUAUUGCUAAGAAUUGAGCCAAAUAUUAUUGCAAUUUAUCCACAAACAAGCUGGGGAUCGAUCCAGCCGCAUAACAGCAUAUAAUAAAACCAUCCUGUAAAUAAAAAGAAAGCUAUUAUAUAAAAGAUGUAAAAAAUGCUAUUAAUCACGGUAUCGUUUUAGUAAUAUUAUUAACAUGGAUUUAAUAAACAACGCACAAUAGAUAAUUACUGAACUACAAGCAAGUUUAUAUAAUUUUCUGAUAAAUCGUGUAGGAAGAAUGCAAUUAGCUAAAGAAAGAGAAAUUAAGGAUUGGUGCAUUGGUUCACUAGAUUAAAGAUUUGAUACAUGGGCUAUGAACAGGCAGAAUUUAUGUGCAACUGUUUCAAUUUUCUUUUUUUUUUUUCACUAGUCUCCUUCGCCAUAUCAACUGGGGAAAGUGUUUUUUCAGAAAUUUGUGUUUGUUGGGUUUCUCCUCAUAACAUGGACAACAAUAUAUCAACAACAUCCUAAUUAUAAGCUUAUGAAGAUUCUAUACCAGGAGUGCCGUGAACGAAAAAGAAUACUUCCGAGGGCCUUUAAGUUUUGUACAUCAGUUGCCAUAUUCAUUAAUGCGCAUUCUUUCUUUAAGUACUUUUUGUUCUUUACCUUUUGCUUUAUAUUAAUUUGUUCACACUUUACUCUUUCUUUGUCCGAUUGCAAUCUUUGUUCUGUUAUUAUGCUUUUCUUUGUCUUAUAAUACACAUUUUGACACAAAACUAUUAAUGUGUUCGUGAACCUCAAGUAUAUAUAUGCAUGUUGAUGUGUAAUAUUGCAAUUGAUUGCUUUCUCACCCUUUCAUUUGUUGCAAACUGACCCAGAAAAUAUAUACAUCCUAGCCUAAAUUACUGCCUGCUCAUUACCUUUUAUACCAUUAGUCCUUCAUUCUUAACCUCACAAAACAAGUUGAAUAUGGCCGCGGAAACUGUUACUUCAGUUAUCCAGCCCAUUACGGAGAAGAUUGUUGACGUGUUGUUCAAUGCAACAGUCCGUCAGUUUGGUUACUUGUGUAAGUACAAACACUACAUUGAAGCGUUGAGGACGGAAGCAAAGAAGCUCACAGAUAGAAGAAAUGACUUGCAAGCGGAAAUUGAUGCUGCAACAAGAAAUAGAGAAGUUAUUAAAGAUGAGGUUAAAAGCUGGAUAGCAGAAGUCAAUGAAAUCAUUCCAAAAGCGGAAAAGUUUUUGGAGGAUGAAGUGAAAGUAAACAAGAAAUGCCUUGGCGGGUUGUGCGUUGAUCUCAAAUCACGUUACAAACUCAGCAGAGAGGCAGAGGGGAAGACUCUAGCAAUUUCUGGUCUCAUGGCUGAUGGAAAUUUUGGAAAAGAUGUGUCUCGUCCUGCUCCUCCACCAGCAAUAAUAUCUUCGUCUGAAGGAUUCUACGCUUUCAAUUCCAGGGAAUCAGCAAUGAAGGAUAUAAUGGAGGCCAUGAAGAAUGAAAAUGUUAGCAUAAUAGGAAUAUGCGGAAUGGGGGGUGUGGGGAAGACCACACUAGUCAAGGAAAUUCAGAAGCAAGCAAAAGAAAUGAAGAUGUUUGAUGAUGUAGCGAUGGCCGUUGUGUCUCAAACUCCAACCAUUACCAAGAUUCAAGGUGAGAUUGCUGGCUGGUUAGGUGUUAAAAAACUGCCUGACAAUGACGAGUCGGCAAGAGCUAGUUUUUUGUGGGAAAGAAUCAAGGAGAAGCAGCGAGUGCUUGUCAUAUUGGACGACUUAUGGGGGCGAAUAAAAUUGUCUGAGGUUGGUAUUCCUUACGGAAAGGAUCACAGAGGCUGUAAUAUUUUGCUCACGUCUCGAUCACGUGCUGUCUGCAAUCAAAUGAAUGCGCACAAAAUUGUUGAAGUCGGAACUUUAACGAAAGAGGAAUCUUGGAGCCUUUUCAGGGAGGUAGCUGGUCCAGAAGUUGAUAAUCUUGAAAUAAACCCGACUGCAAGAGAGGCGGCUGACGGGUGCGGUGGCUUGCCAAUUGCGAUUCUCACAAUAGGAGGAGCGCUGAAGGAUAGAGACAAGCAUGUUUGGAAAGAUGCAGCUGAUCAACUCAAAAGUUCCGCCCCAACGAACAUCGAAGGGAUGGAAGAGUUUGUAGUUUCACGCGUGCAGCUGAGCUACAAUUAUCUGAAAAGCGAGGAGUCAAAAUCAAUCUUCCGACUCUGCAGCUGCUUUCCAGAAGAUUACGAUAUUCCAAUUGAAGUGUUGGCGAGAUACGGAUGGGGUUUGAGGUGCUUACAAAACGUCGAUUCAGUGGAGAAGGCCAGAGGCAGAGCACGUAGUGCUGUAAGUACCCUUAUCUUUUCUUAUUUGUUAAUUGAUGGUGAGGAGGAAGGGUUUGUUAAGAUGCAUGACGUUGUGCGUUAUGUUGCACAACAAAUAGCGUCUAAAAAUAAGUUCUUGAUUAAGGCCGGCGUCGGGCUAAAAGACUGGCCAAGCAUAAAUACAUUUGAAGAUCUCACUGGAAUCUCAUUGAUGUUCAAUGAUAUCCAUGAGGUACCUGAUGAGUUGGAGUGUCCAAAGCUCCAAGCUUUAUUCCUGCAGGAAAAUUAUCACUUAGUCAUUCCUGACCCAUUUUUUCAAGGGAUGAAAGAUCUGAAAGUUUUAGACUUGGAAGGAAUCCGAAUGGUUUCACCGCCUUUCUCACUUUCAUUCCUUAGUAACCUCGGAACUUUAAGUCUUCAUGAUUGCUGUGGCUUGGGCGACCUAUCUUUAAUCGGAGAGUUAAGUAGAUUGGAGAUUCUUGAUCUUUCAGAAUCUGAUGUAAGUGAAAUUCCGGUCAGUUUUGGACGAUUGGGUCAUCUAAGAUUGUUGGAUUUGACAGACUGUGAGCACCUAGAACUAAUACCCCGAGGUGUCCUCUCUAGCCUUCGUAAGUUAGAGGAGUUAUACAUGUCAGACAGUUUUCGCCGCUGGCAAUUUGAGAGCGAAGAAGAUUCAAGCAGUAAUGCCAAAUUCAUUGAAUUAGGAGCCUUGAGUCGACUCACUAGUUUGCAUAUUGACAUCCCGAAAGGCAAAAUCAUGCCUUCUGAUAUGUCCUUCCAAAAUCUGACAAGCUUUUCGAUUACAAUUGGCGACCUUGAGGAGGACCCUCUCAGUUAUUUUAUGGAAGUAUUUUCUAGAAAAUUUAAGAAGAGAUGCUCGAGAGCAAUGGGGCUUUCACAGGACAUGAAGAUUUCAGCGCUACCUUCUUGGAUUAAGAAUUUGCUGCUCAGAUCAGAGAUUCUUGCUUUGGUAGAAGUCAACGAUUUGGAGAAUAUAUUCUCGAACCUAGCUAAUGAUGACUUUAACGAAUUGAUGUUUCUAGCUAUUUUCCGCUGCAAUGAGAUGAAAUGUCUCUUGAACUCAUUGGAAAGGACACAAAGGGUAACUCUCCACAAGUUAGAAUGGUUGUUUAUACGUGAAAAUCAGAAUUUUGUUGAAAUAUGCCACGGUCAACUCCCAGCCGGGUGCUUGAGCAAUGUAAAAAGGUUAGAUGUGGAAGCUUGUGGCAUUAUGUUGAAAAUUUUACCAAGUCAUUUGGUACAAAGCUUUCAAAAUCUUCAACGUUUGAGGGUAGAAAGUUGUGAGUUGCUGGUGUCUGUAUUCGAAAUUGAAAGGGUUAAUAUUGCAAAAGAAGAAACUGAGUUGUUUUCGUCAUUAGAGAAACUGACUCUGAUCGACCUGCCUCGGAUGACGGACAUAUGGAAAGGUGACACUCAAUUUGUAAGUCUCCAUAACCUGACGAAAGUAAGAGUGCAAGACUGCGAUGAGUUGAGACAAGUAUUUCCGGCAAAUCUUGGGGAGAAAGCAGCAGCAGAGGAGAUGGUACUUUACAGGAACAGAAGAGAUCAGAUUCACAUUCACGCCACAACCUCAACCUCCUCUCCGACUCCGAGUUUGGGAAACCUGGUUUCUAUUACAAUUCGGGGAUGUGGGAAAUUACGAAACCUCUUCACAACCUCCAUGGUCAAAAGCCUGGUGCGACUUGAAAGCCUAGAAGUAAGCAGCUGCCCAACACUGCAAGAAAUAAUCAUGGAUGAUGAAGGAGAAGUGGGACUGCAGGGAGCAUCAACAAAGAAGAUCACUUUUCCAAGUUUGUUCAGCAUAAAACUCCGUGAUCUACACAGCCUUGCUUGUUUCUGCUCGUCAGGUUUACAUGCUACUAUGGAAUUUCUAGCUUUGGAGGCUUUGCAAAUAAUUGACUGUCCAUGCAUGAAGACCUUUGGUUAUGGAGACCAACUGACACCCAAGCUGCUGAAAGGUGUGGAGUUAGAAGGUGGUGAAUAUCACUGGACGGGUAACCUUAACCACACCAUUCAACAAUACGUGUACAACUAAAAGGUACGUCAAGUUAGCAAUUGCUUGCCCAUUAAAUUCCUUGUUUUUUUUUUUCUCAAUUGUAUUUGUAUGUGGUGGUAAAAUGAUUUUCUACAUCUGCUUAUACUAGCACACCAUUUUAAUUUUGUUUUUCAUUUGGGGCAGAAAAUUCGGGAGAAAGAACCAAUGAAGUCAGGAAUUUCAUCUGAGACUACUUCCUCUGACACUGAGAAUUGAUUGUGUAAAACAAACGGUAUGCAUGCGUAAAAUUUUACUAAAUUCCCUAGAUUUUGUCACAUAUUUAUCCUUUGACAUUGCUCUAACUAAUCCAAAUACUUGAUUUGUUUUCAGAACCAUCAUAUAAGGAGCGUUGACAGGUUCGCAUACAUCACCGGUUUAUUGAAUUUCAUUCUCCUUUUUCAUGUCUUAUAUAUUAAAUGUACAAAAGAAUUUCAUGUAUUUUCUUCGUUUGGGAUUGUGCAUGAUGUUAUUUAUUCUGGUUUCAAUCUCUCAGGUAUGCCAAGCCCAGAUGCCAGAUUGCUUGGGGUGUUAAAAUAAUAAUUACUUUAGUUCGUGGAGCUGCCUGUAAAAAUUUGGUAUCCAUAAUGUAUGUUGUUUGUUUAGAUAUUAAACAGUUAGAGUUUGUUAAUCAUAGACGCAUUCUCAAUGUGAUAAGUAUCGGCAGGAAACUGCUGAGUUCAAUUCUGAAAAAUAAAUGUAAUUGAGUAUUACGAGUGAGAAAAAUAAUUGUGAAUCCUUAUUUCUUGUUUUUGCACUUGGUUACUAGUCAAUUUAAGAGAUACCUUAAUGAUAUUCUCUUCUUCUAUUUCUUCUAUUCUUAAAUUGUUGUUCAUAAUUAAAAAAAAAUUAAAAUUAUUUGAUAUCCUAGUAACCUACUUUUAGAGCCUGCUAAUUUAGUUGCAGCUUUGCAGUAUUGAGUUACUGAAUUAAAAAUAUUAGAUUUUUCCUCUUUCCGGAUCAAUGGAUGCUAAUGCAGCACAGCUUGCUGGCAAUAGAACAGGCUGCCAAUGGAACACAAAUUUAUAAGUUUCGGGAUAAAUUUUUCAUUAAUUAAUAAAAAGCCGAAUGACAAUUUUCUAGUAACAUAUGCUGAAUCCGGAGCCACAUUCUCUUGGUAACCAUUUUUCCAAAGUAAAAAGCUUCUCUGCUAGUUGUGCCCAAUCCUGUCUCAAGCCAAUAUCAGAAAUAACUCUGAGAGGAUGCCCUGCCAUCAGAGUUCGAUCAAAGGCCUUCAGGAUUUGGCUGAUAGAUAAAUGCUAGAAGCAAAAUUUUAACUUCAGCGGCAGCCGCACCAAGAAAAUCCACAGCCAGUUGAUCAUUAUCAAAUGCAAAACGAACAGGCACAAGCAGAGAAGCAGGUUCCAGAAUUGGAGCAGCAGCUCCGAGGUGGCCGGUGGGAGCUUCCCUAUUGGAGGGUGCGAGCAGAAGUUGAGCCAUCAUAAUUCUGAUUUCCGAAGAGUUUAUUGUGUUUCUAUUAUGAGAUGAUUAAGUGUCUUGACUUUGUUCUGGUGUUGUGUCGAAUGAUUAUUUCAACAUAACUUUGUCUUGAACAGCUUGUGUUUGAAGUAAAAUUCUUCAAAAAAGGGCUGACAGUGACAAGUUCUGUACGUUCCCGAAGGAAGAUUCACCUUAUAUAUUAUUGGCCUUAUGAAGAGCAGCAAGGCUCUCCAGGUUGAGCAAUUGGUGUUGGUUUUGUGACCAACUGCCAUGAUGAUGGUCAGUAUCAUCAAUAUUAUCCUGCAGAUUAAGCCUGCUCACGCCUCGGUUGCAUCAUGCCAAUCAUUAUUUAUCGUCAUCAGUCUGCAUGAUGGGCUCUGCAACAUCACCAUACUCCUCUAGUGCCAUUGUAAUAUCACAAAGCAAGAAGUUGAAACCUGCCGCUGUUGAGCUCUGCAACAUCACCGUACUCCUCUGAUGCCAUUGUAAUAUCACAAAACAAGAAGUUAAAAUGUAGAAAAUGUUUAAAAUCAAAUAAAAUUUGAACCAAAAAAAAAAAAACCACCAAAAGAUUGCACUCACAGUUUUGCGGAAGAAAUUUCUACACUUAAAACGAACAAAAGAGGUAACAGAAUACACGCAUUCUACUAGGAUAAGGAAACGUCGGUUAGUUUUAUAAUUUUAAAUUACUACUAAAACAAUGUGUUUUUGUGUUUAAUACGAAAAAUUAAAAUUGAGUUGAAUCUUGUCCAUCCAAUAAUUUAAAUAAUACACAUCAAAAUGUCUUUAAAACAUUAGGAAAGAUUAGAGUACGAAGGAAAGUGGAUCCAAUUAUUGGGAUAAUUAGUAAUAAAUUUACAAUCAGAAUUAAUCUUUACAAAUUGUUUAAAACUGCACCUCAUAUAUAUUUAGACUCCAUUUGAUAUAGCCUCUCAAAUAGAUCUUAUUUAAAUAGAACUUUUACAAAUAGAGUUUUUAUUUUAAAAAAAAAUUAGUUGUUUGGUUGUUAAUAAGAGUUUUUAUUAAAAAUUAUAAACUAUCAAAGUUUAAAGUUAUGUUAUAAAAACAAUAAAAUAAGAAUAUAAAACAAAUAAUGAGCAUUUUAGACAAUUGAACUUUCUAAGAAAAAAAAAACUUUGUAACCUCUAGCCCUAAAAACUCAAAAUUUGAGCUUUUUUUAGUGGAGGUAAAAUACUAUUUAUUUAACUCUCAAAAGCUCUAUUAAAAUAAAAUAAAAAAACCAAACAACCAAAAAUAAAUAAAAUUUUUAAAAAGAACUUAUAUACAUUAGAUAAGUCAUUCAAGUAGGCAUUUAAAAAGAAAAAAAUUCAGUCAAAACUCAACUCAAAGUAUCAAGUUUAACUUAAAAGCUUGGGCUAAUGGGUUGAGCCCUCACUAGCUCAUGGUACAAUUACAAACUUUUAAAAUACGAUUUAUAUAAACGAAAUUAAUUUAACAUUUAUGUGAUAAAAGAUUAAGAAAUCUUUAGUCAAAUAAGAAAACUAAUAUAUGCGAUUUUUAUGGGAAAACAAAUUGGUGGAAAGAAUCUCAAUUUCACAUAAUUAAUUUUAUUUACAAUAUUAUAAUAUAUUAAUAAUUUUUGUCAAAAUUUUUAUUUAUUUAAUGUGAAAACAAAUGCAUUGUAUAUAUUUAUUCUAUUACUUAAAUUUAAAACUAUAAAGAAUGAAACUUAAAUUUAAAAUUGUAAAGAAUGAAUAAUAACUUAAAUUAGUAGAUUAUGGGAGGAUACCUUUCAAAAAAAAUUAAAAUUAACUAAUUUUUUAGGCUUCUAAUGUAACAUUUUUAUUUUAUUUUUUUGUUAACAUAAGACAAAAAUUUAGUCUAAAAAACUCAUUCUAGGGUCUCCUUAGGGUAAAAAAAAAAUCAUUAUCACAUGAUAAUUUGAUAGCCUAAGUUGUAUUAUUUUUAGUUUACUUAUUCAUGUCAAACACCUUAUUGAGAUUAAAUUUUAGUAAAGGUAAACCCAUCCCACAUCUUUAAUCGCAUUCAGUAGGCCCUAAUUGAUUAGAUCUUGUUAUAGAAAGUAAUAUAUAACUCUUUCUUUAUUACAAUGCUAAAGAAAAAAACAUAAACACAAUAUAUUUCUUUUGAGAAAAUGCAAGUAUUAUGUUUUUUAGGUUUUUCGUUUAAGAAAUUAAUCUAAUUUAUGUAGUUAUAAGACUCUUAUUUUUUUAUGUUUUAGAAGAAUUAUAUGUUUGAUAAUGAAUAAAUUAAGAUUUAAAGUAGGACAAACUAAUUUGAGAGGGAGAUAGAGAAAAUAAUUUUUUUAGAAUUUGAAAAUUAUUAUAUUUUAAUUGGGGCUUAUUACAUAAAAUUAAUAAAACAUAUGGUUUUUAUUAUUUAUAGAAAACAAUAUGAAUUGCUAAAGAAAACACUAAAUAAUUUUUUUUAAAUUUGAAAUUAUUAUAUUUUAAUUGGGGCUUAUUGCAUAAAAUUUAUAAUUUUUAUUAUUUACAGGAAACAAUAGGGAUCGUUAAAAACAGAUACCAAAUUUGGGGGUUUGGUACAACGGUUGCAAAGUAGUUUUGUCCUCCUUUCCAUUAAUAGAGAAUUCUCUCUUCAAUUAUUGAUUGGAGUUUGUACACUAUCUUUUUUUGUUUUAUAUUUAAUUUUUGACACUUUACUCUUUCUUUGUCCGAUUACAAUUUUUGUUCUGUUAUGAUGCUCUUCUUUUUCUUAAGAGUACAUACUUUGACACAAGACCAGUUAUCUGCUCAUCAAUCUCAAGCGUGUAUUAUUGCAAUUGAUUGCUUUCUCACCCCUUCAUUAACCCAGAAAAUACAUACAUCCUCGCCUAAAUUACUGUCUGCUCAUUACCUCUUAUACCAUUAUUCCUUCAUUCUUAACCUCAAAAAACAAGUUGAAUAUGGCCGCGGAAACUGUUACUUCAGUUACCCAGCCUAUUACGGAGAAGAUUGUUGACGUGUUGUUCAAUCCAACAGUCCGUCAGUUUGGUUACUUGUGUAAGUACGAACACUAAAUUGAAGCGUUGAGGACGGAAGCAAAGAAGCUUACAGAUAGAAGAAAUGACUUGCAAGCGGAAAUUGGUGCUGCAACAAGAAAUGGAGAAGCUAUUAAGGAUGAGGUUCAAAGAUGGCCAGACAAAGUUGAUGAGAUCAUUCCAACAGCUGAAAAUGUUUUGGAGGAUGAAGUGAAAGUAAACAAGAAAUGCCUUGGCGGGUUGUGCGUUGAUCUCAAAUCACGUUACAAACUCAGCAGAGAGGCAGAGGAGAAGACUCUGGCAAUUUCUGGUCUCAUGGCUGAUGGAAAUUUUGGAAAAGAUGUGUCUCGUCCUGCUCCUCCACCAGCAAUAAUAUCUUCGUCUGAAGGAUUCUGCGCUUUCAGAUCCAGGGAAUCAGCAAUGAAGGAUAUAAUGGAGGCCAUGAAGAAUGAAAAUGUCAGCAUAAUAGGAAUAUGCGGAAUGGGGGGUGUGGGGAAGACCACACUAGUCAAGGAAAUUCAGAAGCAAGCAAAAGAAAUGAAGAUGUUUGAUGAAGUACCGAUGGCCGUUGUGUCUCAAACUCCAAGCAUUACCAAGAUUCAAGAUGAGAUUGCUGGCUGGUUAGGUAUUAAAGAACUGCCUGACAAUGACGAGUUAUUAAGAGCUAGUCUUUUGUGCAAAAGAAUCGAGAAGCAGAGGGUGCUUGUCAUAUUGGACGACGUAUGGGUGCAGAUAGAAUUGAAAAAUUUUAAAAGAGAUGCUCGAGAGCAAUGGGACUUUCACAGGACAUGAGGAUUUCAGCGCUACAUUCUUGGAUUAAGAAUUUGCUGCUCAGAUCAGAGAUUCUUGCUUUGGCAGAAGUCAACGAUUUGGAGAAUAUAGUCUCGGACCUAGCUAAUGAUGGCUUUAACGAAUUGAUGUUUCUAGUUAUUUUCAGCUGCAAUGAGAUGAAAUAUCUCUUGAACUCAUUGGAAAGGACACUACGAGUAACUCUCCACAAGUUCGAAUGGUUGUUUAUACGUGAAAAUCAGAAUUUUGUUGAAAUAUGCCACGGUCAACUCCCAGCCGGGUGCUUGAGCAAUGUAAAAAGGUUAGAUGUGGAAGAUUGUGGCAGUAUGUUGAAAAUUUUACCAAGUCAUUUGGUACAAAGCUUUCAAAAUCUUCAACGUUUGAGGGUAGAAAGUUGUGACUUGCUGGUGUCUGUAUUCGAAAUUGAAAGGGUUAAUAUUGCAAAAGAAGAAACUGAGUUGUUUUCGUCAUUAGAGAAACUGACUCUGAUCGGCCUGCCACGGAUGACAGACAUAUGGAAAGGUGACACUCAAUUUGUAAGUCUCCGUAACCUGAAGAAAGUAAGAGUGCAAGACUGUGAUGAGUUGAGACAGUAUUUCCGGCAAAUCUUGGGAAGAAAGCAGCAGCAGAGGAGAUGGUGCCGUACAGGAACAGAAGAUAUCAGAUUCACAUUCACGCCACAACCUCAACCUCCUCUCCGACUCCGAGUUUGGGAAACCUGGUUUCUAUUAGAAUUGACACAUGUGGGCAACUACGACAACUCUUCACAACCUCCAUGGUCAAAAGCCUGGUGCGAAUUGAAAGCCUAGAAGUAAGCAGCUGCCCAACACUGCAAGAAAUAAUCAUGGAUGAUGAAGGAGAAGUGGGACUGCAGGGAGCAUCAACAAAGAAGAUCACGUUUCCAAGUUUGUUCGGCAUAAAACUCUGUGAUCUAGACAGCCUUGCUUGUUUCUGCUCGUCAGGUUUACAUGCUACUAUGGAAUUCUUAGCUUUGGAGGCUUUGCAAAUAAUUGACUGUCCAGGCAUGAAGACCUUUGGUUAUGGAGACCAAUUGACACCCAAGCUGCUGAAAGGUGUGGAGUUAGAAAUUGGUGAAUAUCGCUGGACGGGUAACCUUAACCACACCAUUCAAUAAUACGUAUACAAUGAAGAGGUACAUCAAGUUAGCAAUUGCAUGCCCGUUAAAUUCCUUGGUUUUUUUUUUUUAAUUUUAAUUGUAUUUGUAUGUGGUCGUAAAAUGAUUUUCUACAUCUGCUUCUACUAGCACACCAUUUUAAUUUUGUUUUUCAUUUGGAGCAGAAAAUCAGGGAAAAACAAGCAAUGGAGUCGGGAAUUUCAUCUGGGACUACUUCCUCUAUCACUGAGAAUUGAUUGUAUAAAACAAAUGGUAUGCAUGCGUAAAAUUUUGACAAAUUCCCUAGAAUUUGUCACAUAUUUAUCCUUUGAAAUUCCAGUAAUCAAUUCCAAAUAGUUGAUUUGUUUUCAGAGCAAUUGCAAGUAUCCAAAUUUGAAAGAUUUAAGAGAGCUUCUACUUGAGUGUUCUAGUAAGGAUCAAACUGGGUGUAUUGGAGUUGUGAGUUUUGAGAGAGUUUGUUUCCUACUUUUGUAAAUUCAAAUUGAUUAGUAAGAUUAUCUUUCGGUCUUUGUUCAUGGACGUAGGCUUUACGCCGAACCACGUAAAUUAUUGUGUCCUAUUUUCUUUACAUUUGUUUAUCACAAUAUUUACAUUUCUCCAGAAGUCGUGAUCACUGUAAUAUUGAUAAUUGCUCAAUCUGCACUUUCGCAACAAUUGGUAUCAAAGCAGACAAUUCGUGCUUUGGUUAUACGACAUUAUUCACGUAUAUAGUACUAUUCACGAAUAUGAUAGAGCCAAUAGUUCGUACUUGGGAGUAUUAGGAGCCUACAAUGUAGUUGUGUGGAUAAAUGCAUGUUUAGGAAAGUUUUGUCAAUAAGAUGAUAGGAGUCUACGGAGUCGUGGGACUGUUGUGUCCCUUAUAUUGUCUUAAAAAAUUUUUUAGUGCAUUGUUUAUAUAAAUAGAUACAUAGUCACUGUUUAAUCAGGUUAAGUAAUUAAAAAACAAAGGGAUGGCAAAGGCGACGGCAUCAUCUUCAUCAACAAGGACCAUUGUAACGAAUGUGAAAUUUGAAGAGGAGAAAUUUGAUGAUAAGUAUAAUUUUGGUAUGCGGCAAUGUGAGGUGUCGGAUGCCUUAUGUCAGCAAGAGUUGGACAUCAGCUUUAAAGAAAAACCUAACAAGAUUGAUGACAAAGAGUUGAUAAAGAUCAAGAGACAAGGAUGUGGUACUAUUUGCCUAUGUCUGGAUAAAAAUAAAAAAUACUCUAUCAGGAGGGAGACAUUAACAAAAAAAUUGUAGAAGAUACUGGAAGAAAAGUACAUAAAGACAAGCCUUGAAAAUAGGUUUUAUAUGAAGAAAAAAACUCUAUUAAUUCAUGUAUACACCUUGCAUGUCGAUGAAUGACUAUGUAAACUCACUUAACAAGAUAUUUGCGGACUACUUAAUUUAGAUAAGAAAUCAAAGAUGAAGAUAAGGUAUGGUUGCUAUUGAAUUCCCUUCCUGAUAAAUAUGAUCAUUUCACCACUACUUUGAAUUCCUUAUGAAUAAAUUAAAGUCCUUCAGUUUAGUAAAAUUCUUAUGUUACCUUAAUAGUUUCAAUUUUGAACAUUUUAAUCCUCCUUUAUUUAGGACAUCGUUAUUGUAUUAUUUGAUACAUGGAACAUUAAUUAGAUUCUUGUGGAUCUUUUCCUCUUGGCAACGUUGAAUGAUCAAAUAAGAAGUGAAAUCCAGCAUAUGAAAACCGUGCUUGGACAAAACAUACCUAAUAUUGGAGCUCUCAUUAGAUUAUCCAGAAGCAGUAGCAGUCAGGACAUGAAUGCAUCCAUAUAUAAGCGCUGCCGCACAACAACUUCCAGAGCUCCAACUUCAGAAUCUGUAUCAGGAGCAACAUGUUGAAAAGUCAUGCAUGUGGCAAUUUUUCAAAGAGCUACCAAACAUUUGAAGAAAAAAUGGAAAGUUGGCAAAUUUGUCAAAUUUGCCAAAUGGACACCAUUGACAUAUUUGCAUGGGUUAGGUGGAAUAGUACUUGCUUCAAGCCUAUAAAUAGAGAGCAUUUAUUCAUUUCAAAAUCAUCCCAAAAUUGUUAAGCUUAUAAGUUUCUAAGCUUUUGAGAGAAGUGAGAGAAGUGUGUCUGGGGAAUUUAUCUUUCCUGCAGAGUGUGAGAGUACUGGGUAUAUUUGGGUUUUUGAGAAGUGAGAUUCGUUACUCAAAUAUUGUACUCAAUUAAUUGUUAAAUAAACAAUUAUUCUUUCUUGCCUCCGUGGAUGUAGGUUUAAUUACUGAACCACGUAAAUUCUUAUGUCCUUUAUUUUUUUGUAAUUAUUUGGUGCACUUGAUUCCGCAUUCCGCGCACAACAAGUGGUAUCAGAGCCGACGGUUCGUACUUGGGGGGAUACGGUACUGUUCACGUAUACGGCACUAUUCACAUAUACGAAACUGUUCACGUAUACGGUACUGUUCACAAAUACAGUGGAGACAGCCAUUUGUACUUGGGAGACAGUCUAUUGAAAGUAGUUUGUAUUUUUGCAUGUCUAGGAAAGUUCUGUCAACAAAGGCGAUAAGAGUCUAAGGAUUCUGGUUUUUAAUUGGGACUGAGUUCUCGUCUAGUUUCCUGUGAACUUGCCUGGUACAUUUAUUCACGCGAAAUUAACAUCAUAGAGACUGUUUUCCAAGUGGAAAUAGUUCAUUGAGAAAAUGGUAGAAGGUGAAACUUCCAGAAUUGGGGAGAGAUCUAUCGAGACUAUUUCAGGAGACACUUCAGGUGGGAGGCGAGAUUUGUUAAAUUGCUAUUCAGCACCUGUUAUAGGAGGCCAGAAGAUCGAUGUUGAAAAGUUUGAUGGGAAAAUCAACUUCGGCAUAUGGAGACGCGAAGUUAUGGAUGCCCUUAUUCAAAUCGAUCUCGAUGUUGUUCUGAAAAAUAAAAGACACCUGUAUGAUGAAAAAAAUUGGGAUCGUAUGAAUGAAAAAGCCUGUGGUCAUAUCAGAUCUUGUUUGACCAAGGAGGUGAAAUACUCGGUGAAAGAUGAGGAGUGUGCGGUGACUUUGUGGUGUACAUUGGAGGAGAAGUACCUAGUGAAAAGUCCUGAAAAUCGACUUCAUGCAAUGAGCCAAGUAUAUGGUUUUCGAAUGAAGCCUGUGGUGUCAAUGCACAAUCAUGUUUCAAGAUUUGAAAAGUUACUUGCUGAUUUGAAGAAUCUUGAUGAAGAUAUUAAGGAUGAAGUCAAGGCUAUGAUUCUGUUACACUCACUACCAGAGGAAUAUAGCCAUUUUGUGACUACUUUGAUAUAUGGGAAAAGUGUGAUCGUCUUUAAAGAUGUUUGCACAACAUUGAUUAGCUUAGAGAUUCAAAAUAAUGAUAAAAAUUUUGAACGAGCAUCGUUUGAAGCUUUGGUGAGCAGAGAUUGGGCAAUGGAGAAACAGAAGAAGCCUGGUGGAAAGAAUUCUCGAUCCAAAUCAAGAAGCAGAAAUAUAGCUCGAGAUGAGUGUGCAUUUUGUCAUGAAAAGGGCCAUUGGAGGAAAGAUUGUCCAAAUGCUCAAAAGAGAGAUGGAAAGAAACCAGCAGCAGUAAACAUUGCACGAAAAGAUGAGGGCUCUGAUUAUUCACUAAGUAUUACUCUUGCAGUAUACGUGGCUAGUUCGAGCGAGUGGAUACUUGAUACUGGAGCAACCUAUCAUUUGUGUCCUAUUAAGGAAUGGUUUACGGAUUUUCAUAAUCUGGAAUCCGGUGCAGUUGUGAUGGGGAAUAAUCAACCUUGUCGCACAAUGGGGAUAUGAACAAUUCGGCUCAAAAUGUUUGAUGGAAUGGUCAGAGAACUCAAAGAUGUUAGAUUUAUUUCAGCUUUAAAGAAAACUCUAAUUUCUGUGGGUGCUUUAGAAGAUAAAGGCUAUAAGGUUACCAUUGAAGAUGGUAUAAUGAAGUUUACACAUGGGGCUAUGGUAAUUCUGCAAGGGGUUCGGUAUCACAAUCUGUACUAUUUGAAGGGAGGUACAACUGAUGAAGUAAAUGUUGUUGAGGCGCACAGUGACACCACCAAGUUAUGGCAUGUACGACUGGGACAUGCUGGAGAGAAGUCUUUGCAAACUCUGAUGAAGCAUGGACUCUUAAAAUGUACCAAAACCUGUAAAUUAAAUUUCUGUGAGCAUUGUGUAGUAGGCAAGAAAACAAAGGUCAAGUUUGGUACAACUAAUCACGAUACUCGCGAGAUCCUUGAAUAUGUUCAUAGUGAUAUAUGGGGACCAACCAAGACUGCAUCAAUUAGUGGAAGCCAUUAUUUUGUUACAUUUGUUGAUGAUUUCUCUAGACAUGUGUGAGUGUACACCAUGCGAGCAAAGGAUGAGGUUCUAGAGAUUUUCGUGAAAUGGAAGAAAUUGGUAGAGACUCAAACUGGCAGAAAGAUUAAAGUAUUACGAUCUGAUAAUGGGGGUGAAUAUACUUCUGAUCCAUUCUUGCAAGUAUGCCAGAACGAGGGUAUUAAAAGACAUUUCACGGUGAGACAUACUCCGCAACAGAACGGUGUGGCUGAGCAUAUGAAUCGUACUUUACUGGAGAAUGUACGGUGUAUGUUAUCUAAUGCUGGUUUAGAUAAAAAAUUUUGGGUUGAAGCUGUGAGCUACACAAGUCACUUGGUAAACUGGUUGCCUUCUACUGCAAUUGGAGGUAAAACUCCUAUGGAAAUGUGGUCUGGAAAGCAUGCACAAGACUAUGAUUCCCUUCGUAUAUUCGGGUGUCCAGCUUAUUAUCAUGUCAAAGUUGGUAAACUGGAUUCUCGUGCUAGAAAAGUUAUCUUUGUGGGAUUCAAAGGUGGAGUAAAGGGCUUCAAGCUUUGGGAUCUCGAAAAUAAAAAGUUUGUGUGUAGCAGAGAUGUCACAUUUGAUGAAGCUUCAAUGAUGAAAGCUUCAAGUUUUCAGCAGGUGGAGAACAAGACCAAAGAGGUAUUGCAGCGGGUGGAGUUUGAUGCAACUCCAUUUGUACUAGUUAGUUCUACAUCAAAAAAUGGUUCAACUAUGGAGGUGACACCUAGAGUUGAAGAAGAGGUUGUUUCUUCUGAUGUCCCACAAAAUGAAGAAACAAUUGAUGAUGUAGAUAAUGAUGAUUUUAUAGCAACAAGAAGGCCAAGAAGAGAGAUAAAGAAACCCGGAUGGCUUACUAAAGAUAUGGUGGUAGCCUAUGCACUUCCAGUUAUUGAUGAUGACAUCCCCAACACUUUCGGUGAAACAUUACACAGUAGUGAAAGUGAUCAGUGGAAGUUAGCCAUGGAGGAAGAGAUGAAAUCUCUCCAUCAAAACUAGAAUUGGGAACUUGUAAAGUUACCAAAAGGGAAAAGGGUUAUUGACAAUAAAUAGGUCUACACCAAAAAGCAAGGAUCUCCGAAUUAAACAACUCCUUAAUACAAGGCAAGGCUCGUGGCAAAAGGUUUUGCUCAAAAGGAAGGUAUUGACUACAAUGAAGUUUUCUCUCCAGUUGUAAAACAUACUUCAAUUCGUAUCCUACACUUCUUAGUUGCAAAUUAUGAGUUAGAGUUGGCUCAAUUGGAUGUUAAGACGGCGUUCUUACAUGGAGAUUUGGAGGAGGAAAUCUAUAUAAUUCAGCCUUGUGGUUUCAGAGUUGCUGGAAAGGAGAAUCAUAUGUGUAGGUUGAUUAAAUCUUUGUACGGACUGAAGCAAUCGCCAAGGCAGUGGUACAAAAGAUUUUAUCAAUUUAUACAAGGGCAGAAAUUCACCAGAAGUGAACACGAUCAUUAUGUUUACUUUAGAAGACUACCAGAUGGAGCUUUCAUCUAUUUGUUACUCUAUAUCGAUGAUAUGCUUAUAGCUUCGAAGAAUAGAGAUGAGAUCGAAAGAUUAAAGAAGCAGCUGGCUUCUGAGUUGGAGAUGAAAGACUUAGGUGAUGCACAUAUAAUACUUGGGAUGGAGAUUCAUAAAGAUAAGAAGAAUGGGAGCGUAUGGUUGACUCAAAAGUCUUAUUUGAAGAAUGUGCUAGAAAGAUUUGGUAUGGAUGACAAAACUAAACCGGUAUGUACACCUCUAGCUCCUCAUUUCAAAUUAAGUUUUUCUUCAUGUCCUAGAUCUCAAGAGGAGCACGAUUACAUGGCUCGUGUUCCAUAUGCUAGUGUUGUGGGUAGUCUUAUGUAUGCUAUGGUAUGCACAAGACCCGAUAUAUCUCAAGCAGUGAGCAUGGUUAGUAGAUACAUGCACAAUCCGGGUAAAAAUCAAUGGCUUGCGGUAAAGUGGAUUCUUCGAUAUCUGUAUGGGAUAGUUGAUGUUGGGUUAUUGUUCAAGAAGGAUUAUGGUCAACAAUGUGUUGGGUAUUGUGAUUCUGAUUUCGCUGGAGACCUUGACAAGCGAAGAUCAACAACGGGCUACGUAUUCACAUUGGGUGGAGGUCUCGUUAGCUGGAGGUCGAUUCUACAAUCGACAAUUGCUCUGUCCACUACGGAAGUAGAGUAUAUGGCAGCAACUGAAGCUGUAAAAGAAGCUAUCUGGUUGAAAGGCUUGUUAGGUGACUUAGGAGUAAUCCAGAAGAACAUUGUGGUCUUCUGUGAUAAUCAAAGUGAGAUAUUCCUUGCGAAGAAUCAAACAUAUCACGCUCGGACGAAGCACAUAGAUGUGAAAUAUCAUUAUGUGAGAGAGAUUAUCGAGAGCGGUGUUGUGUUGUUGAGAAAGAUCGAUACCAAAGAUAAUCCAUCAGAUAUGUUGACGAAGGUAGUUUCUGGAGUUAAGUUUCAACAUUGCUUCAAAUUAAUUCAAAUCAUUCGAUUGUGUUAAGAUAUGUCCUUCGGGAAUUUUGAACUACGGUUGGCUUGAUCCCAAAUUUUGGGUACGUAGGCAUUCAAAGAGAUGCAGCCAUUUUCGGGAUGAUGAUUGGUUAGUAGUCGGCUCAGAUUUGGACAAAUUUUCACCGAUGUGGAGAAUUGUUGAAAAGUCAUGCAUGUGGCAAUUUUUCAAAGAACUACCAAACAUUUGAAGAAAAAAAUGGAAAGUUGGCAAAUUUGAAAAAUUUGCCAAAUGGACACCAUUGACAUAUUUGCAUGGGUUAGGUGGAAUAGUGCUUGGAUUAGGUGAAAUAGUACUUGGGUUAGGUGGAAUAGUACUAGCUUCAAGCCUAUAAAUAGAGAGCAUUUCUUCACUUCAAAACCAUCCCAAAAUUGUUAAGCUUAUAAGUUUCUAAGCUUUUGAGAGAAGUGAGAGAAGUGUCUAUGGGGAAUUUGUCUUUCCUGCAGAGUGUGAGAGUACUAGAUAUAUUUAGGUUUUUGGGAAGUGAGAUUUAUUAUUCAAAUAUUGUACUCUAUUAAUUGUUAAAUAAAACAAUUAUUCUUUCUGGCCUCCGUGGAGGUAGGUUUAAUUACCGAACUACGUAAAUUCUUGUGUCAUUUAUUUUUCUAUAAUUAUUUGGUGCGCUUUAUUCCGCAUUCCGCGCACAACAUAACAAUCACAGUACGAUUUUCAGCAGCAACCAUAUCUCAGGCUAAAUAGUUUUGGAGUUCAAAAUGAGCAAGGGCAAUGCAGCCAACUUUAGCAGCAGUUGCUGCACUAAGAGAAUCCAAAAUGAGCAAGGGCAAUGCAGCCAACAAGCCCACCAAAUUCAACUAUAAUAACAGCUGCCGGAACUUUAAGCAGCUCCAUGCCGUGAGCUUCAUCAUUGGAGAGUGAGGACAGAAAUGAGGCACCAUCAUUCUAAAGAUUUUUUUUUAUUUGAUUCCUAUUAUCGGGUGAUUAAGUACUAUCUAUGUUAGUUUACUAUGUUGUGGUAUUGUGUUGAUUGCUUAUUUCAAGAGAAAUUUAAUUUGUUGUUUGAAUUGUUUGUGUUUGGAGUUUAUUAAAAAUUCAUAAGAAUAUUAUUUGCAAUGCAUUUUAUCAGUUAUUAUAAUUUCCAGAAUCCCAUAAAAUGGAUUUGAUCGAUGCUACUUAAAUCUUGAUUUUUGAAGGGCUUAAGUUGGUCUUUGUUACACACAUAUAGUUCUUCUCUAGUGCGGGAGCACUCAUUUUUUUUAUUUUUUUAUGUGAAUACAAUUUAAAAUCGUGGAGUUUAAGAGAGUUAGUUUUUAACUCUCUAAAAUCGUAGGAUUUUAUUAAAAAAAAAUGUGAACGUCCGCACUUAAGAAUGAUAUGAUAUAUAUAUAGUGCGCAUUUAGUAUUAAACUGAUUAUGUGCACAUCAUCAUUUCAGCACGUGAUAUGUAUAAUCAUCUCUUGAUUCUCGCAUUCUUUCUUGAUGAGCUACAUAUACAUAUUAUCUAUAAAUAAAUAGAUUGUAAUUAUACUUGUUAAUUAAUAGCUUGUAUCUACACAUACGUCUACUUUCUUGCAACAAUAUUCCAAGGUAUAACACAAAAAAUUAAAUGUUUAAGCAGAGUUCCAUUUUUUUUUUUUUUUUGUUUCUUGUGCAUAAUCCUUUCAUUAUAAAUUGCUGAAUAGGAAAAUGGUAAAUGAACAAAUGCAAGACAAAGGGUCGACAGAAACGGCAGCCAAUCACGCGUUCCUUUUUCUAAUUUUUCUUUAGGCCGACAAUAGAUAAUAAAAUAAGUUUCAAAAAGGGAAAAAAUACUCAAAUAUCUCCUGAGAAAGGAAACUCCAUCCACUCAUCCUUGACUCAUUCUCCACCCACAUCAUUCCCGUCUGUUUCACAACUCCACUCGUCCCCAUCACCAACUUACGCUCUAAACACUUCGUCCCCUCCGUUUCCCAUCCUCCACUCGUUCUCCACCCACAUCAUCUCUCUGUUUCACAACUCCACUCGUCCCCUCACCAACCAUUGCUCUAAACACUUCGUCCCCUCCGUUUCCUUUCUCCACUUGUCCCCGUCCAUUACUUUCUAUCAAUUCAAAGUAAAAAAAAAAAAAAAAAAUCAUAACAAUUUAGAUAUAUAAAACGCACGCAUCCAGAGAUUUUUACAAAUUUAAACCAUCACUUUCUAACAAUUUAUAUUGAAAAAAAAUUCUAAUAAUUUAAAUAUAUAGAACACAAGUAAAAACGAAUUUUAUUUAAAUGUAGUGGGAAACUGAAAGUUACCGAUUAUCUGGCUACAAUUUCAUCAACGUGGUUGGCGUGGUCUUUGGCACCAAAUUCAGAUCUUUGAAUGUUGGUUUUAUUUCAUUUUUCUUUUGUUAAUGCAAAUGCAAAUCUGAGUUUAUCGGGUUUGGCUUUGUCCGCUUGGAGGAUAAUGGCGUUGAUGGCACACAAGUAGUUACUCUGUCAUUACUUUCUUCUUUUAAAAUUACCUUUUCGUUACUUUUAUGUUACUUUUUCAUGAUUUUAAUAUUUUAUUUUCAUUAUUUUAAUUUUUUAAAUGAAAAGAGAAACAUAAGUGGGACCCAAAGAAACAGCAGCGGGCAGCCGGGCACUACCGUUAUGUCGUCCCUUUGUUCAUCUAGCGCUGUUGUGUUAGUUAUCUCUUACAAGUUAAUAAAAGAAAGUACUAUAAUGCUAAAUUAUAAUGGUAAUAAUGUUAGAACCACUAAUCCUUUUGUAAAAGGAGUUUGUUGCUCUAUUAUCAAAAUAACAAUAAUAAUUUAAAAAUAUAUAUAAUCUUUGUUGUAAUGCUUUUGUACUCUUCUCAAAUUUCACCAUGGAAAAUAAUAUAUAUGAAAGCGAGUCGCCUUGAAAGCAAAGGCAAGACUGCGAGCACUUCUCUUGUGAAUCAUUUCUUUAUUUGUUUGUUCUUUCUUUCUUUUGCGUGUUGUAGCUGCUUAAUUCUUCUUUAUCUACAAUAUUCAUUUGGCUUUUCACUUUUCUGUUUCUUUAGUACAAUCUUACAAACUAACCAUUGGUUUAUGAGCAUCACGGUAUAAUUAAUGUUUGUACCCUUCUUUAUCUACAAUAUUCAUAGAAAAUAAUAUAUAUAGAAACAAGUAUGGGAUUGAUCCAGCUACAUAACAGCAUAUAAUAAAACCACAUCCUGUAAAUAAAAAGAAAGCUAUUAGAUAAAUGAAACGAAACGAAACGAAACCUACAGGUUUAAUGUAUGGACUAGACUACUAAAUGCUAAAAUCUAAAAAUUGAUACCGUUUUAGUAAUAUCAUUAACAUAUAUUUAAUAAACAACGCACAAUAGAUAAUUACUGAACUACAAGAAAGUUUAUAUAAUUUUCUGAUAAAUCGCAUAUGAAGAAUGCAUAUAGCCGAAGAAAGAGAAAUUAAGGAUUGGUGCAUUGUUUCACUUGAUUAAAGAUCUGAUACAUGGGCCAUGAACAGACAGAAUUCAUGUGCAAUUGUUUCAAAAAUUUUUUUCCCCACUAGUCUCCUUUGCCAUAUCAAACUCCAGAAGUAAAUCUCAAUUCACAAACCACAAAGAACAAGUGAAAAGAUUGAAGAUGUUUGGGUUGGAUUUUUCUGGUAGCGUAUCGAAAUAUAGUCGAUCCUCAUCUACUCAGAUGUUGUUGAGCUGACCUCAUAAGUACAACCUGGAGCCUAUAUUAGCGACCUGAUUUAUAGGUACGACAUGAAUAUCCUAUUUUAAGAAUACAACCUCAAGCCUAUAUAAUCCGACCUCGAAAUUCAUUUGUCCGACCUGAGAAUUAGCUUGACAUAAGAAAUUGCUAGUCAAGAGAACGUGGCCUAAUUUCUAGGGAAGUUGUGUGCCACGAUCUAUUUAAACCACCUCCAACUGACAACCACUUGCAACUGCUGAAGAAAGCGGGCUGAAGUUAAGGGAGUAACCGUCCACGACCAAGAGCCUAUUUAAACUGAAGAGCGCAUCAGGUGACGGGGUUAGCAAAAAUGAACCAAAAAACUCUAUAAGUGACCUAUCUAAGAGCCUUAACGGGGCUGACUAGAUUUUUAGUUCCUUGAUCGAAAAAUUCCUUUCUUUUGAACCCAUUCACAAUUCUUCCCUCUCAUUUUUAUCUCUUUAUACACAAUUUCUGACUUAAGCAUCGGAGGGUCUGCGGCGGAAACCCACCGGCGUAUCCUAACCGUGUUUUCUGGUUGACAGGUAUAUAAAAUUACGGUCAUAUUGGCGUUUGAGCUUGGAUUCGUGCUGUAAUUCCCUUAAAGAAAUAAAUUCAGUUGUUAAGGUCGUUUUUCGGCAUCAACAUCUUGGCGCCGUCUGUGGGGAACGGUGCGAAAAGCCAUACGUUUGACAAUUUAGAAGGAAGAGGCUAUCAGAUUACGGAAUAACGAUNNNNNNNNNNNNNNNNNNNNNNNNNNNNNNNNNNNNNNNNNNNNNNNNNNNNNNNNNNNNNNNNNNNNNNNNNNNNNNNNNNNNNNNNNNNNNNNNNNNNAAAAACUUUAGAGGCAUUAGAGGCAAAAACAGAGGGCAAGAAAGUGGUAGGAAGGUUGUUACUUGAUGACGAGUCCCCCUUGGUACGUGAAGUGAUGGCGGUAACUUUCCCACCCAAGUAUGUGGUUCCAGCCUUGGUGUAUGAAGGCAAAACUGACCCGAAUCAUCACGUGGAGAAGUUUAAUGAGAUGAUCGGGAUCCAAGGCUUGAGUGAUUUUCAAAGGUGUCGUGUUUUUCCUUUAACCUUAGAAGGACAAGCACGGGAGUGGUAUCAGAGAUUAAAGGGAAGCAUAGGAAAUUUCAAGGAGUUAUGUGAGCUUUUCACUGUGCGUUUUAGGGGUUCAUGCAUACCAAAGCAAGAUACGAGCAGAUUGAAAAAAUUGGUACAAGGAGAAUUUGAAAGUUUGAGGAGUUUUGUGACCAGGUAUCAUAAGGAGGUUACUGAUCUAGGGGCCUUUGAUCAUACAGAUGCUCUGGAGGGAUUAAAGAAGGGGUUGAGAAUCAAUCGAUUGUGGAAUAGCUUAUAUUGUAAGGGGAUAACAACAUAUGCUGAGGCGUAUGACCAGGCAAAAUUGGAUAUGAAAACUGAAGAUGCAGAGGAAGAAAAGAUGAGAAUGGAAAUGCAGACAGAGGGUCCAAUGAGGAAGGGAGACCUGAGAAGGAGAGGAGAUAACUUUGGGUAUAGCUCGAGGAUGAACAUGGGUGAUAGGCGUCAUUAUGAUAGAGGGUUGCUCAAUUAUAGACAACUAGAAAGGCCGGGUCGAAAUUGAGAAGCAAAUCGUGAAAGAAGAGAAAUCUCAUUAGUAGGAAGGGGCCGAGAGGGAAGAAAUAAUUAUGGGAGGAACCAGCGGGAGAACCGAGUAAGAGAUUACAAUAGGUUGCCACCACCUGUAGACCGGAGAGGACUGAGAUCUGACAAUGGGGUGAAUUUAUUAGAACAAAGUGGAAGAUACACACCACUGAACACGAGCAGAGCAGAAAUAUAUGCUGCAAUAAAAGACAAGGGGUUACUAACACUGCCAAAGCAGAUUGUAGGGGGUUUGGGCGGAAGUGCUCACCACAAGUAUUGCGAGUUUCACAAGGUGACCAGACAUGGAACUGUAGAUUGCAUUGACUUGAAGGAACAUAUUGAAUGGCUAGUGCAAAAUCAAUAUCUAAAGGAGUAUGUGGAUGACCAAGGAAGAGGUAGGAGAAAAGGAGACAUCAUAGAUAAUGUAGCGAUGAUGAUUAUGGGAGGGUCGACCUUAGCAGGAGACUCAAACCGCUCAAGGAGAAAUUAUAGUCGAUAUUCAUUAAAAAAUUUUGAGGUGAAUUUUAAUGUUCCGAUACCAAAGAAGCAGCGGAUUCAAAGGGUGCCGAUCAUGUUCACAGAUGAGGACGAGGAAGCAGUCGCACAUCCACAUGAGGAUACGCUUGUAGUGAAGGUUGUCUUAGUAGGGCAGGAAUUGAACCGAGCUUUUGUAGAUGGGGGAAGCUCAGUUGACAUUUUGUUUAAGCAAACUCUAGACGGUCUACAAAUAGGAGACCUCAGGCUUGAUCCGGUCAGAACAUCACUAAAGGGGUUCGGUGGAGCUGAGUUGAUUCCCCUUGGGUUGAUUGACUUGCCACUGACAAUAGGGUCCAGCCCACUACAAAAGACAGUGAUGCUAACAUGGUUGGUAGUUGAUGAGCCAAGCCCUUAUCAAGUUAUUUUGGGCAGACCAUUCAAUAGAAUAGCAGGAGCAGUGAGCUUAACCCAUAUGCAAUGUGUGAAGUUUAGAGUUCAAGGUGGAGUUGGAGUGAUGAGGGGCCAACAACAAGUGGCUCGAAGCUGUUACGCUACAGCUGCGAGAGAAUUCAUGCAGAUCACAAGUAUCGAUCCACGAGCUGAAAAUAGGUUGUGCCAACAGCGACCUAAUGAAAAAAUGAAACAAGUACGGGUAAGUGAGGUUGAUCCGAGCAGAGUGGUAAGAGUGGGAACAAAAAUGAUAGAUGACAUCUCCAAUGAGCUUCAGAUUUAUUGAUGGAGUUCUAGGGCUGAGCUGGGAAGGACCAUAUAAAGUGCUACACUCAUUUGGUAAUGGGGCAUAUAAGUUAGGUUAUCAGGAUGGCAGGGUCGUUGGCAAGACAUGGAAUGCAGAGCACCUGCGAAAACACUAUCAGCUAAGAUAUAUCUUAUUUAUGAUGUUCUUGUUUGUCUGUUUUCUUUAAAUAUGCUAAGAAAGUUUGUUUCUUUGUUAUUUUAAUUUGUUAUGUGUUCAAUUCUGUAACUUCUGCUAUAUUAAUAUCAAUGAGGUUAUUUAGAAGUGCAAUUUUAUUUCUUAUUUACUUGUGACUGGUCUUAUUGAGAUUGAGAUCGACAUGGCGGCCUUAUUGAGGUCCAACGUGAAAAAAUUCAUCCAAUCUUAUUGAGAUUGAGAUCAACAUUUUGGACCGUAUUGAGGUCCAACGUAAAAAGAUUCAUCCAAUCUUAUUGAGAUUGAGAUCAACAUUUUAGACCGUAUUGAGGUCCAACGUGAAAAGAUUUAUCCAAUCUUAUUGAGAUUGAGAUCGACAUGGCGGCUUUAUUAAGGUCUAACGUGAAAACGUUAUCUAAUCUUUUAUUGAGAUUGAGAUCGACAUGGCGGCCUUAUUGAGGUCCAACGUGAAAAAAUUCAUCCAAUCUUAUUGAGAUUGAGAUCGACAUUGCGGCCUUAUUGAGGUCUAACGUGAAAAAAUUCAUCCAAUCUUAUUGAGAUUGAGAUCGACAUUUUGGACCAUAUUGAGGUCCAACGUGAAAAGAUUUAUCCAAUCUUAUUGAGAUUGAUAUCGACAAUGCGACCUUGUUGAGGUCCAACGUGAAAACGUUAUCCAAUCUUUUAUUGAGAUUGAGAUCGACAUGGCGGCCUUAUUGAGGUCCAAUGUGAAAAAAUUCAUCCAAUCUUAUUGAGAUUGAGAUCGACAUUGCGGCCUUGUUGAGGUCCUACCUGAAAAGUUUAUCCAAUUUUAUUGAGAUUGAGAUCGACAUUGCGGCUUUGUUGAGGUACUACCUAAAAAAUUUAUCAAAUCUUAUUGAGAUUGAGGUUGUCAUUUUGACCUUGUUAAGGUCUAAUUGUAAUUCGACCAUGUUGAGAUUGAAGACGGCUAUUACCUUGUGGUUAGACAACUUUAACUUUUAUCUUGUUGAGAUCUACAUUUUUCAAUUUUAUCGAAAUUGGUUUUUACCUUAUUUGGGUCGAUCAUUUCCUUAUUGAGGUUGGCCAUAAGUUAAGUUUUACAAUUUUCUAUUUAUUGAGGUUGGCCAUUGCCUCGUGGAGUUUGGCCAUAGCCUUAACAUUUAAAUUCUACAAUGUUCAAUUUUGUUGAGGUCAGUCAUUGCCUUAAUGAGGUUGGCCAUAAGCUAAGUUCUACAAUUUUCUAUUUAUUGAGGUUGGCCAUUGCCUCGUGGAGUUUGGUCAUAGCCUUAACAUUUACGUUCUACAAUGUUCCAUUUUGUUGAGGUCGGCCAUAGGCUUAACAUUAAGUUGCCCAAUUUCAAUUUUAUUGAGGUCGGCCAUUGCCUUGUUGAGGUCGAUCAUAAGCUUAACAUUUAAGUUCUCCAAUUUUCAAUUUUUUUUAGGUCUGCAUUUUACCUCUACACUUAACCUUAUUGAGGUCGACAAUCUAUCUUGUUAAGGUUGACAUUUUCGUGAGGUCAACAUUUUUCUUAUCGUGAGGUCGACGUUUUAGCUCUACAUUUAACCUUGUUGAGGUCGACAAUCUAUUUUGUUAAGGUUGACAUUUUCGUGAGGUCAAUAUUUUCCUUGUCGUGAGGUCGGCGUUUUAGCUUUACAUUUAACCUUGUUGAGGUCGACAAUUUAUUUUGUUAAGGUUGAUAUUUUCGUGAGGUCAAUAUUUUCCUUGUCGUGAGAUCAUGUGGUCAGCAUUUUGGCUUUACAUUUAACCUUAUUGAGGUCGACAAUCUAUCUUGUUAAGGUUGACAUUUUCGUGAGGUCAACAUUUUCCUUGUCGUGAGGUCGGCGUUUUAGCUCUACACUUAACCUUGUUGAGGUCGAUAAUCUAUCUUGUUAAGGUUGACACUUUUGUGAGGUCAACAUUUUCCUUGUCGUGAGGUCGACGCUUUAGCUCUACAUUUAACCUUGUUGAGGUCGACAAUCUAUUUUGUUAAGGUUGACAUUUUCAUGAGGUCAAUAUUUUCCUUGUCGUGAGAUCGUGAGGUCGGUAUUUUAGCUUUACAUUUAACCUUGUUGAGGUCGACAAUCUAUUUUGUUAAGGUUGAUAUUUUCGUGAGGUCAACAUUUUCCUUGUCGUGAGAUCGUGAGGUCGGCGUUUUAGCUUUACACUUAACCUUGUUAAGGUCGACAAUCUAUCUUGUUAAUGUUGACAUUUUCGUGCGGUCAACAUUUUCCUUAUCGUGAGGUCGGUGUUUUAGCUUUACAUUUAACCUUGUUGAGGUCGACAAUCUAUUUUGUUAAGGUUGACACUUUCGUGAGGUCAACAUUUUCUUUGUCAUGAGGUCAGUGUUUUAGCUCUACACUUAACCUUGUUGAGGUCAACAAUUUAUCUUGUUGAAGUUGACAUUUUCGUGAGGUCAACAUUUUCCUUAUCGAGAUUGACAUCGAAAUGAUAUAAUCUUAGUGAAUUCAAGGUCAUUGCUUGGUGUUAUUGCUACCAAAGUUGACCAUAUCUAUUUGUUUGACCUCAACAAAGUCUUAGAUGGGCUCAGUCUACGGAAUGCAAGUCAUAACCAACCCUAGUAAAUAAAGAGUAAAAAAGGCAAGGUCAGCAUAAUAAUUAUCUAACUACAAAAGCAAAUUAAAGUUCAGUAACAUACAGUCUACACAAGUUCAUAUUGCAAAAAAAGGGCAAGUAUUGUAAUAAUCAAACUUAGGAAGUUAUCUCUUGGUCUUCAACAACCCUACUAGUUAGGGAGACCUCAACCUCAACCCUGACCUUAUCACUUUAAGGCACUUGGUCAUGGUUAUCUUCUUGGUCCACACUUGAAGGUUUCUUCCUACCCUUCUAUUUGCUCACCAUUAUGCUCUACACCGUCUUUCUUUUGCUUGCAGCCAUAUUGCUCUUUCUUCUUUGUUUUAGUUUCCAAUACCGUUCAUAUCUUCUCAGUAUUGAAAACUAGGGGACUGGUGUUGGGUUUGAGAAAAAAUUUUUUAUUUUUAAAUAAUUAGUUUCCAACACUGGUAAUGACUUUCUGGUAUUGAAAACUAGGGGACUGGUGUUUGAGUUGGAUUUUUCUGGUAGCGUAUCGAAAUAUAGUCGAUCCUAAUCUACUCAGAUGUUGUUGAGCUGACCUCAUAAGUACAACCUGGAGCCUAUAUUGGCGACCUGAUUUAUAGGUACGACAUGAAGAUCCUAUUUUAAGAAUACAACCUCAAGCCUAUAUAAUCCGACCUCGAAAUUCAUUUGUCCGACCUGAGAAUUAGCUUGACAUAAGAAAUUGCUAGUCAAGAGAACGUGGCCUAAUUUCUAGGGAAGUUGUGUGCCACGAUCUAUUUAAACCACCUCCAACUGACAACCACUUGCAACUGCUGAAGAAAGCGGGCUGAAGUUAAGGGAGUAACCGUCCACGACCAAGAGCCUAUUUAAACUGAAGAGCGCAUCAGGUGACGGGGUUAGCAAAAAUGAACCAAAAAACUCUAUAAGUGACCUAUCUAAGAGCCUUAACGGGGCUGACCAUAUUUUUAGUUCCUUGAUCGAAAAAUUCCUUUCUUUUGAACCCAUUCACAAUUCUUCCCUCUCAUUUUUAUCUCCUUAUACACAAUUUCUGACUUAAGCAUCGGAGGGUCUGCGUAGGAAACCCACCGGCGUAUCCUAACCGUUGCCGUUGUUGUUGUCGAGCUGACCACGUAAGUACAACCUGGAGCCUAUGUUGGCGACCUGGUUCACAAGUACGACCUGAGAUUUAUGUGAAUGACCUGAUUUAAGAAUACAACCUUAGACCUAUAUGAGCGACCAAGAAAUUCACCGGUCCGACCUCGAAAUUUAUUUGCCCGACCAGAGAAUUAGCUUGACAUAGAAAGCUAUUGGUUAAGAUAACGUGGCCUAAUUUCUAGGAAAGUUGUGUGCCACGAUCUAUUUAAACCAUCUCCAACCGAUGACCACGUGGAACUGCUGAAGAAAGUUGGCAGAAGUUAAAGGUGGUAACCACCCAUGACCAGGGUCCUAUUUAAGCUAAAAAUGGUAACUGAGGCAGGGGUUAGCAAAAAUCAACCAAAAAACUCUAUAAGUGACCUAUCUAAGAGCCUUAACAGAGCUGACCAGAUUUUGAGUUCUUUUAUCGGAAAACUCCUUUCUUUUGAACCCAUUCGCAAUUCUUCCCUCUCAUUUUUAUCUCCUUAUACACAAUUUCUGACUUAAGCAUCGGAGGGUCUGCGCCGGAAACCCACCGGCAUAUCCUAACCGUGUUUUCUGGUUGACAGGUACAGAAAAUUACGGUCAUAUUGGCGUUUGAGCUUGGAUUCGUGUUGUAAUUCCCCUAAAGAAACAAAUUCAGCUGUUGAGGUCGUUUUUCGGCAUCAAUAUCUUGGCGCCGUCUGUGGGGAACGGUGCGAAAAGCCAUACGUUUGACAAUUUAGAAGGAAAAGGCUAUCAGAUUAAGAAAUAGCGAUGGAUGACAACGAUGGAGAUAGGCAGACCUUGCGCCAAUUGGCGGAAGAAAUGAGCGCCACAACAGAUAAGAGAUGGAGAGAAGGGAUCGAGAGACAAAUGGCAAAAUUUGAAGAGAUGAUCAGGGGGUUGGUUGAUGCCCAAGUCAGAGAAACUCAAGUUCGAGCUAGUGAUCCCGAGAAUAGUGGAGAGCGAGAGAGGGAAGAGCUUGGUGGUGAACAGCAGAGCGGAAUGGGACUACCACAAGUUGGGGUACGACAAGAGAAUAGAAGUGCAGGAGAACAAGUGAAUGAAUUGAGAGGGAGAAUCAAUGACUUGAAUCAAGAAAGGGAGAGAGAAGAGCUGAGAGACCCCCACCGGGCAAAUGAGCUUGAGCAGCGAAUGAUGCAAUUUAAAAAAACUUUAGAGGCAUUAGAGGCAAAAACAGAGGGCAAGAAAGUGGUAGGAAGGUUGUUACUUGAUGACGAGUCCCCCUUGGUACGUGAAGUGAUGGUGGUAACUUUGCCACCCAAGUAUGUGGUUCCAGCCUUGGUGUAUGAAGGCAAAACUGACCCGAAUCAUCACGUGGAGAAGUUUAAUGAGAUGACCGGGAUCCAAGGCUUGAAUGAUUUUCAAAGGUGUCGUGUUUUUCCUUUAACCUUAGAAGGACAAGCACGAGAGUGGUACCGGAGAUUAAAGAAGGGAAGCAUAGGAAAUUUCAAGGAGUUAUGUGAGCUUUUCGCUGUGCGUUUUAGGGGUUCAUGCAUAUCAGAGCAAGAUACGAGCAGAUUGAAAAAAUUGGUCCAAGGAGAAUUUGAAAGUUUGAGGAGUUUCGUGACCAGGUAUCAUAAGGAGGUUACUGAUUUAGGGGCCUUUGAUCAUCUCGAUGCUCUGAAGGGAUUAAAGAAGGGGUUGAGAAUCAAUCGAUUGUGGAAUAACUUAUAUAGUAAGGGGAUAACAACAUAUGCUGAGGCGUAUAACCAGGCAAAAUUGGACAUGAAAACUGAAGAUGCAGAGGAAGAAAAGAGGAGAAUGAAAAUGCAGACAGGGGAUCCAAUGAGAAAGGGAGACCUGAGAAGGAGAUGAGAUAACUUUGGGUAUAGCUCGAGGAUGAACACGGGUGAUAGGCGUCAUUAUGACAGAAGGUUGCUUAAUUAUAGACAACCAGAAAGGCCGGGUCGAAAUUGGGAAGGAAAUCGUGAAAGAAGAGAAAUCUCAUUAGUAGGAAGGGGCCGAGAGGGAGGAAAUAAUUAUGGGAGGAACCAACGGGAGAACCGAGUAAGAGAUUACAAUAGGUUGCCACCACCUGUAGACCAGAGAGGACUGAGAUCUGACAAUGGGGUGAAUUUAUUAGAACAAAGUGGAAGAUACACACCACUGAACACGAGCAGAGCAGAAAUAUAUGCUGCAAUAAAAGACAAGGGGUUACUAACACCGCCAAAGCAGAUUGUAGGGGGUUUGGGCGGAAGUGCUCACCACAAGUAUUGCGAGUUUCACAAGGUGACCAGACAUGGAACUGUAGAUUGCAUUGACUUGAAGGAACAUAUUGAAUGGCUAGUGCAAAAUCAAUAUCUAAAGGAGUAUGUGGAUGACCAAGGAAGAGGUAGGAGAAGAGGAAACAUCAUAGAUAAUGUAGCGAUGAUGAUUAUGGGAGGGUCGACCUUAGCAGGAGACUCAAACCGCUCAAGGAGAAAUUAUAGUCGAUAUUCAUUAAAAAAUUUUGAGGUGAAUUUUAAUGUUCCGAUACCAAAGAAGCAGCGGAUUCAAAGGGUGCCGAUCAUGUUCACAGACGAGGACGAGGAAGCAGUCGCACAUCCACAUGAAGAUACGCUUGUAGUGAAGGUUGUCUUAGCAGGGCAGGAAUUGAACUGAGCUUUUGUAGAUGGGGGAAGCUCAGUUGACAUUUUGUUUAAGCAAACUCUAGACGGUCUACAAAUAGGAGACCUCAGGCUUGAUCCGGUCAGAACAUCACUAAAGGGGUUCGGUGGAGCUGAGUUGAUUCCCCUUGGGUUGAUUGACUUGCCACUGACAAUAGGGUCUAGCCCACUACAAAAGACAGUGAUGCUGACAUGGUUGGUAGUUGAUGAGCCAAGCCCUUAUCAAGUUAUUUUGGGCAGACCAUUCAAUAGAAUAGCAGGAGCAAUGAGCUCAACCCAUAUGCAGUGUGUGAAGUUUAGAGUUCAAGGUGGAGUUGGAGUGAUGAGGGGCUAGCAACAAGUAGCUCGAAGCUGUUACGCUACAGCUGCGAGAGAAUCCAUGCAGAUCACUAGUAUCGAUCCACGAGCUGAGAAUAGGUUAUGCCAACAGCGACCUAAUGAAGAAAUGAAACAAGUGCAAGUAAAUGAGGAUGAUCCGAGCAGAGUAGUGAGAGUGGGAACAAAGAUAACGGAUGCCAUUUUCAAUGAGCUUCAGAAUUUAUUGGUGGAGUAUAAUGACAUAUUUGCUUGGAGCCAUGAAGAUAUGCCGGGAAUAGACCCACGAAUCAUGUGUCACCGGUUGGCUAUAGAUAAAAAACAUAAGCCUGUGAAGCAGAAAAGAAGAGUGUUCAACAAGGAAAGGUAUGAGGCCAUCCAUGAUGAGGUGGAUAAAUUGUUGAAAGCGGGGUUUAUAAGGGAAAUGAACUAUCCAAAAUGGGUUUCGAAUGUGGUGAUGGUUAAAAAGGCAAAUGGAAAAUGGAGGAUGUGUGUGGACUUUACCGACCUCAACAAAGCUUGUCCCAAAGAUAGUUUUCCUCUCCCAAAGAUUGAUCAGUUAGUGGAUUCAACAGCCGGGCAUGGCUUGAUGAGUUUUAUGGAUGCAUUCUCAGGAUACAACCAGAUUCGUAUGUCCACAGCAGAUGAAGAAAAGACAGCUUUUGUGACUGACCAAGGAUUGUAUUGCUACCGUGUGAUGCCGUUCGGAUUAAAAAAUGCAGGAGUUACUUACCAAAGGUUAGUAAACAAGCUUUUCAAACCCUUGAUUGGUAAAACAAUGGAGGUAUAUGUAGAUGACAUGAUAACCAAGUCUGUUGAGCCGGUCGAACAUACAUCGCAUUUGAGUGAGACGUUUGAAGUUCUAUGAAAAAAUCAGAUGAAGUUGAAUCCGGAAAAGUGUGCCUUUGGAGUGGAAUUAGGGAAAUUUUUGGGCUUCCUAGUUAGCCAGAGGGGGAUAGAGGCUAAUCCGGAAAAAGUAGAGGUCAUUCUCAAGAUGAGGUCGCCGAAGGAUCUUAAAGAUGUUCAGAGCUUAGCUGGGAAAGUUGCUGCGCUGAGCAGGUUUAUUUCGAAAUCAUCAGAUAAAUGCCAUCCGUUUUUUGAAUUGAUGAAGAAAGGAAAAAGAUUGAGGUGGUCGGAAGAAUGUGAGACAGCAUUUCAACAAUUAAAGACGUAUUUGGCUAACGUACCAACUUUGGCUAAGCCCUUAGUUGGUGAUGUUCUCUUGAUCUACUUGGCGGUCUCAGAUUAUUCAACUAGCUCGGUCCUGGUAAAAGAAGAAGAUGGAGUCCAUAGUCCUGUAUACUACACGAGCAGAUCUCUUACAGGGGCGGAAGUUAGAUAUCCUAUUGCAGAAAAGUGGGCGAUGGCUUUGGUUGUAGCCGCAAGAAAGCUGAGGCCGUAUUUUCAAGCUCAUGAGAUCGUGGUCGUCACCAAUCAACCUUUAAGACAAAUUUUACACAAACCAGACAUUUCAGGAAGGUUAGUUAAGUGGUCAGUAAAGCUAAGUGAAUUCGACAUCAGUUACCGACCGAGAUCAGCAAUUAAAGCACAAGCUCUAGUCGACUUCAUUAAUGAUUGCAGUGACGGUAAUGAAGGGAUGGAUGCUGGGCAGGAUAUUAAAGAGGCAGAGAAGAAGAAUGAUGUAUGGGAGCUUAAUGUAGAUGGAGCUGCAAACCCAGAAGGGUCAGGCGGAAGAAUUGUUCUUGUUUCACCCGACCAAGAAGAAGUAUGCUAUGCUCUCAAGUAUGAAUUUCAUCCUACAAACAAUGAAGCAGAAUAUGAAGCUCUCAUUGCAGGUUUAAAACUAGCAAGAGCAUUGGGGGUUCGGUAUUUGAAGGUGAAGAGUGACUCGCAACUGGUAGUGAACCACCUGAAUGGGACAUUUCAAGCCAAAAGUGAGAACAUGUCCAAGUAUUUGAGCAAAGCACUGCAGCUAUGGGGUAGUUUUGAUCAAGCUACAAUGGAGCGAGUUCCGAGGGGAGAGAAUUACCGAGCGGAUUAUAUAGCAAGACUGGCAACUACAGAAUGCCCAAAGUUCCCACGAGGAAUCCCAUUAGAGUCGGUUUCAAAGCCAUGUAUAGCUGAUCCCGAGAUGGAAGUGUAUAUGGUAAAAGAUGAGAAGAGCUGGAUGGUGCCUAUUAUGAGGUAUAUUGAAUUUGGGGAACAGCCUCAAGAUAAAGCAAAGGCAAGAAGGCUGCGAUGCCAGGCAACACGGUACUCCAUAAUCGAAGGUGUGCUUUAUAGGAGAGGUUACACUUUACCUUACCUGCGAUGUUUGGGCUCAGCUGAUGCCAACUAUGUGAUGAGAGAGGUGCAUGAGGGAAUUUGUGGAAAUCACGGCGGAGGCAGGGCAUUGGCCCAUAAAAUAAUAAGGCAAGGUUAUUUUUGGCCGACCGUGCACGAAGACACAUAGGAGUUAGUUCGGAGAUGUGAUGAAUGCCAAAAGUUCACCGUAAUUGCAAGACAACCACCAGAAAACAUGAUGACAAUGGGGAGCACUUGGCCAUUUGCACAAUGAGGGGUGGAUCUUAUCGGACCAAUGCCGACUGGGAGGGGCCAAAUGAAAUACGCGGUGGUACCCAUUGAUUAUUUUACUAAGUGGAUUGAAGUUGAACCGCUACAAAAGAUAACCGAGAAGCGCACAACAGAUUUCAUAUGGAGGAAUGUGAUUUGCAGAUAUGGCCUACCGCAAGCUAUUAUCACCGAUAAUGGAAUCCAAUUUAAUAAUGAGAAUUUCAAGAAGUUUUGUAGUCAGCUCGGCAUUGAACUACGGUUUAUCUCACCUGCUCAUCUGAAGGCAAAUGGACAAGUAGAAGCGGCGAACAAAAUUAUAAAGCAGUUGCUGAAGAAAAGGUUGGGUGAGAAGAAGGGAGCUUGGGUGGAUGAGCUUCCAGGAGUGUUAUGGGCCUGUAGAACGACCGUGAAGACUUCAACGGGGGAGACUCCAUUCUCACUUGCUUUCGGCCAUGAGGCGGUAAUCCCAGCUGAGGUUGGCAUUGAGACACACCGCACAAAGUAUUAUGAUGAGACAGUAAACAGGGAGUAUAUGUUGUUGGAUUUGGAUUUGCUUGAUGAGAAGAGAGAUGCGGCAAGAGGUCGAGCGGCAAUUUACCAGCAAAAAGUGGCUAAGUUCUCCAACAAGAAUGUCCGGCUACGACAAUUUCAGGAGGGGGACCUAGUGCUCUGUAAAGUCAACCAGUCAACCAAAAAGCCAUCUGAUGGAGUUCUGGGGCCGAGCUGGGAAGGACCAUACAAAGUACUACACGUAUUUGGUAAUGGCGCAUAUAAGUUAGGUUAUCCAGAUGGCAGGGUCGUCGGCAAAGCAUGGAAUGCAGAGCACCUACGAAAAUACUAUCAGUAGGCCAACCUUAUUCAUGAUCUUGUUUGUUUCCUUUAAAUAUGCUAGGAAAGUUUAUUUCUUUGCUAUUUCAAUUUGUUAUGUGUUCAAUUCUAUAAUUUUUGCUAUAUUAAUUUCAAUGAGGUUAUUCAGAAGUGCGACUCUGUUUCUUAUCUACUUGCGAUCGGUCUUAUCUGAGAUCCGUAUAUUUGGGCCUUAUUGAGGUCUAACGUGAAAAAAGUUUUGUAAUCUAAUUGAGAUUGAGAUCGACAUAUUUAGGCCUUAUUGAGGUCUAACGUGAAAAAAGUUUUUCAAUCUAAUUGAGAUUGAGAUCGACAUAUUUGAGCCUUAUUGAGGUCCAACGUGAAAAAAGUUUUGCAAUCUAAUUGAGAUUGAGAUCGACAUAUUUGGGCCUUAUUGAGAUCCAACGUGAAAAAAGUUUUUCAAUCUAAUUGAGAUUGAGAUCGACAUAUUUGAGCCUUAUUGAGGUCCAACGUGAAAAAAGUUUUGCAAUCUAAUUGAGAUUGAGAUCAACAUAUUUGGGCCUUAUUGAGGUCCAACGUGAAAAAAGUUUUUCAAUCUAAUUGAGAUUGAGAUCGACAUAUUUGAGCCUUAUUGAGGUCUAACGUGAAAAAAUUCAUUCAAUCUUAUUGAGAUUGAAAUAGACAUUUUUGGACCUAAUUGAAGUCCAUUAAUAUAUAUAUAUAUAUAUAUAUAUAUAUAUUAAUAAUAAUCUAUCGAAUGAGAUUAAGGUUGACCAUUGCCUUGUUGAGGCCGGCCAUAAACUUAACGGUUAAGUUCUACAAUUUCUUAUCUAGUUGAGCUCGGUCAUUUUCCUAUCGAGUUCAGCUAUAACCAUAACAUUUUAGUUCUAUGGUUUUCAAAUUAUUAAGGUCGACAUUUUAAGUUUUGUAAAGCCCACGGUUGAGGUCGACACUUGUUGCUUUGUGAGCUCUACGUUUGAGGUUGUUUAUUAAGGUCGACAUUUCAGUUUUGUAUAGCCUACGGCUGAGGUCGACAUUUUAGUUUUGUAAAGCCCACGUUUGAGGUCGACACUUGUUGCUUUGUGAGCUCUACGUUUGAAGUUGUUUAUUAAGGUCGACAUUUUAGUUUUGUAAAGCCCACGGUUGAGGUCGACACUUUCUUUGUGAGCUCUACCUUUGAAGUCAACACUUGUUGCUUUGAAAGUUCUACGUUUGAGGUUGUUUAUUAAGGUCGACAUUUCAUUUUUGUAAAGCCUACGGUUGAGGUCGACAUUUUAGUUUUGUAAAGCCCACGUUUGAGGUCGACACUUGUUGUCUUUGUGAGCUCUACGUUUGAGGUUGUUUAUUAAGGUCGACAUUUUAGUUUUGUAAAGCCCACGGUUGAGGUCGACACUUUAUUUGUGAGCUCUACCUUUGAAGUCGACACUUGUUGCUUUGAAAGUUCUACAUUUGAGGUUGUUUAUUAAGGUCGACAUUUCAGUUUUGUAAAGCCUACGGUUGAGGUCGACAUUUUUGUUUUGUGAAGCCCACGUUUGAGGUCAACACUUGUUGCUUUGAAAGUUCUACGUUUGAGGUUGUUUAUUAAGGUCGACAUUUUAGUUUUGAAAAGCCUACGGUUGAGGUCGACAUUUUAGUUUUGUAAAGCCUAUGUUUGAGGUCGACACUUGUUGCUUUGUGAGCUCUACAUUUGAGGUUGUUUAUUAAGGUCGACAUUUCAGUUUUGUAAAGCCUAUGGUUGAGGUCGACAUUUUAGCUUGGUAAGAUCUAUGCUCGAGGUUGACACUUCGUAAGAAUCUAUAGCGAGGUCAGCUUCGAGCUUCCUAAGGUCAACUUUCCAGCUUAGUUACAAUCGGCAGUAGCCUAAACAUCUUCAGUCUUGUCGUGGUCGGCAUUAGCUUUAUUAAAAAUUAGCGUGCAAGCUAUGUAACGAUUAUCUGAAGUACAAACACAAAAUGAAAGCGCAACAAGAGUUAUAAGUUCGUACAACUACAAAAAGGCAAGCCUUAUAGCAACUUUUCAAAUCUACUUAGAAAGCAUUCUCCUCGUCUUCAGCAACUCUGCUUGUUAAAGAUGCCUCACCCUCAACUCUAAUCUCAUCACCCUGAAGAACUCGAUUUGCUUCUUGAUCUGUACCCAAUGACUUCUUCUUAGCCUUUUCUUUGCUCACAUAAGCGGUCAACAUCCAUUGAAAGUCCAUGUCUGGGUGUUUCUCUUGGAACAAUUCGAUGCAUGUCUGAAUGACAUCCGCCUUCAAUUGCCUUUUCUCUAGUCGAAUGCAUUGAUCAACAUCAGACUUAACUUUUUCCAACUCAUAGCUGAGAUCGGCAAUCUUGGAGUCUUUGCUCACAUUAGAUUUCUUUUCGGCUACCAAGUCUUCUGCCAAGCGAGUAUUUUCAUCGUUGCGAGCAUUGAGGUCACGCUUGAGCCGAUCUCUCUCGUUUGCUGUCUUUUCGUUCGUGAGGUUGGCUUUCAUCAAAGCACGCUCGAGUUCUUCUAUUUUCGCAUGGCCUUUUAAUGACUUUGCAAACGUCUCGAUAUGCGCGGCCAUGAUCAAGGAUUGCUGGAAAAGAAAGCAUGACAAUUAGGAUGGAAAGUAUAAACAUCACAUAAAUAAAGGUUGUGAAUUAAUACCCACCUCAACUUGGUUUCGAGCAAGCGCUUCAAGAGCAUGAGUAGCUGACAAAUGGGAAAAAUUCACGAGGGUAUCCUGGCUCACAAAUCGAGCAGCUAAGUUCACCAUGGGUAGUAAGUCCUCCACUUUUCCUCGCUUUGACUCUAUGAUGUCACUGCUUUCAAGCAAGCUUCCUUUCGGACAUAUCGGGGAAGGGGUAGGUGGCAAAAUGCGCAGGGGACCUCAUAAGUACAACCUGGAGCCUAUAUUGGCGACCUGAUUUAUAGGUACGACAUGAAGAUCCUAUUUUAAGAAUACAACCUCAAGCCUAUAUAAUCUGACCUCGAAAUUCAUUUGUUCGACCUGAGAAUUAGCUUGACAUAAGAAAUUGCUAGUCAAGAGAACGUGGCCUAAUUUCUAGGGAAGUUGUGUGCCACGAUCUAUUUAAACCACCUCCAACUGACAACCACUUGCAACUGCUGAAGAAAGCGGGCUGAAGUUAAAGGAGUAACCGUCCACGACCAAGAGCCUAUUUAAACUGAAGAGCGCAUCAGGUGACGGGGUUAGCAAAAAUGAACCAAAAAACUCUAUAAGUGACCUAUCUAAGAGCCUUAACGGGGCUGACCAGAUUUUUAGUUCCUUGAUCAGAAAAUUCCUUUCUUUUGAACCCAUUCACAAUUCUUCCCUCUCAUUUUUAUCUCUUUAUACACAAUUUCUAACUUAAGCAUCAGAGGGUCUGCGUCGGAAACCCACCGGCGUAUCCUAACCGUGUUUUCUGGUUGACAGGUACAUAAAAUUGCGAUCAUAUUGGCGUUUGAGCUUGGAUUCGUGCUGUAAUUCCCUUAAAGAAACAAAUUCAGUUGUUGAGGUCGUUUUUCGGCAUCAACAGAAGAUCUGAAAGAUCGGGUCCGCAUCUUCAAGAGAAAGAGUAAAGCAUUUGACACUUUUGAUUUUAAAAAGCUUUAUCCCCAGACACGCAUAAUAAUUACAGAGCGCAUGUAAAAACGUAAUAAUACCAUGCAAUGAUGGUUUUUAAAAUAGACAUAAUAAUUGCCAACGAUCACUCGAUAACUAUUAUUCUUCUUCAUUUAUUUUUCUCUUAUAAGACAAUUACUACCUUCUUUCAUUUACUUUUCUUUUCUUUAAAUUUCUCUUAUAAUUAUUACAAUAACUUAUAUAUUUAUAUAUUUAUAAAAUAAACGGUAAAUAAUAAAUAAAAAUUAUUUCCCUCCCGUUGUUUGCCUUUUCAAAAAUUAUUCAACUUGUUUUCUAAGGUUAAGAAUGAAGGAAUAAUGGUGUAAAAGGUAAUGAUCAGACAGUAAUUUAGGCAAGGAUGUAUGUAUUUUCUGGGUUAAUGAAGGGGUGAGAAAGCAAUCAAUUGCAAUAAUACACACUUGAGAUUGAUGAGCAGAUUAAUGGUCUUGUGGCAAAGUAUGUACUCUUAAGAAAAAGAAGAGCAUCAUAACAGAACAAAAAUUGUUAUCGGACAAAGAAAGAGUAAAGUGUCAAAAAUUAAAUAAAUAAAUAAAUAAAAAGAUAGGGUACAAACAAUAAUUGAAGAGAGAAUGCUCAUUGAGGAAUACGGCAACAGAUGUCCAAAACUUAAAAGGCCCUCGCGAUGACCCUUGAAACAAGCAUAUAAUCACGUUACAAAAAAGGCAUCUUUGUAACAGUCAUUUAAACUGGUAGAGUAAUGAUAGAUGUCGUCUUUUAUGAGUUAUGGACAUCGCAGAUGACGCUUUUAUAGAUAUAAAUACACAAGUUAUUUUAUUAGUCAUUUUCGUCUAUUUUACAAUGAUUUAAAUAUACAAGUUAUUAUAAUAAUUAUAAGAAAAAUUUAAAGAAAAAUAAAUGAAGGUGGAUAGUGGUUGACUGGUGGAAGGAAAAUAAAUGAAGAAAGAUAGUAAUUGUCUAAUAGUAUUGGUGAUAAUUAUUAUCUCUAUUUCAAAAUUAUUAUUGCGUUUUUUCAUGUACUCAUUAAGAAAAAUGAUAGAUUUUUAAAAUUUAAGUAAAUGUCGGGUAUCUUAAGGAUGAAGUUUUUCAUUAUUAUUCUUGUUGCUAUUAUUAUUAUUAUUAUUAUUAUUUAGAUUGUUUUAAAUUUAGAUAUAUACUUAAGCGGAAAGAAGAAAAUUGGAUAUUUAGAUAUUUAUUAUGUUGUAGUAAAAAUUGAUUAAUUAUUCAUAAAUUUUAAAAAUCAGUAUGUUGAUUCUUUAGUGCAAGUAGUCAUAUUUUCAUAAAAAUGAAAUCUACUCUGAUUUAGUGCAUGACUUAUUACUCUCGAGAUGAUGAAAUCCUUGCUAAUAAUAGUUUUAACAUGCCAUUGUUAUUACUUAAGUUGGAAAAAAAAACAAAAAUUAUGAGACUGGUUGAAUAACUAACUUGUCGAUAAUAGACAAAAUUAAAUUUAGGUUACUAAUGAUUAUCGAAUUUGGUAAGUCUAGUUUAUAAAAGUCAAAAGCAAGAAAUCGCACUAUAACAAUAUCAAGUUUCUUCUUCUUCUUCUUCUUCUUUUGUGGGUAAGAUAAGUCCUAAUAAUUCUAUUGUUAAUCAUAAUGCACUUUUCUGCAUAUUGUAGUUGGUUGGAUAAGAUAUUUAGUUAAAAUGUUCUAAAAAAUUUAAUAGUGUUGUGUGCAUUGAUAUUGGCUAUUUUGUAUAUGGUAGUUGGUUUUUUUUUUUAAUAUUGAUAUACCAGACGUAUUUACAAUUACGAUAUAGUAUUAGGACUUGUGUACAUUAAUUUGACCCUCAUACAUUUUGUGAGAGAUAACACUAUUACUACUCAAUGUCUCAAUUAUGAAAUAAUUGAAGAAAGAUUGCAACUAAUUUUCAUAAUAUUUUUAAAGAGACUCGAACUUUUCUAUUAGGCCAAAGGCUCAUUAGUGUAAAUGGUCGUUGGUUGAAUAAGAUACUCCCAUCUCAAGAUAGUGUUAAUAAAGUCAAUAGCAACCAAAUGAACAAAGUAUAUAUAGAAGAAUAGUUUCGGCUAAAUUCAACAGACACCUCCAUGACGUUGGCAAGGUAUGUACAUAAAUUAUAAUUAAUUUUGAUUUAUUUGUAUCUUUCAUAUUGGCUAUGCACACACAUAAUUGUUGCAUUAUUUUUAACUAUUUUAAUUUAGUAUUGGAGUAUUGUUGCAGGAUUAUGAAUGUUGUUAGUUGCCUCCGAGAGGGUGUUUUGAUCACUUGUGAAGAAUGUAGUUUUCCUUUGUAAAGAAUGUUUUGUUAUUUACGAUGUAAUGGAUAUCCAAUUUGGGAUGUGUAAAACAGGAAAUACCAGUCAUUUGAAUCAUUAAUAGUAUUUUCUUGACAAUAAAUUUAUGUACUUCCUAGAUGCUUGAUGAUGCAGUCUUUGCCAAUUCAUAUUAGCUUAAUAUGAAAAUUAAAUAGUAGAUUCAAAUAUUUUAAAUAUUUAUAAUUUAAAAUAACAUUAAUUAAUUCAAAAAUAUCACUUUUAUCAUUCAAAGAUGACUCCCAAUAUAAAAAGCUAGUCUUUUGUUCAAAUAAACUUGACAAUUUCUAAGAAAAAGAGUGACAUCACUUUAGGAAUUAUUAGAGCAUUUUCCAUACUAUAUUAUUUUAUGACUGAUAUUUUACAGCAUGAGUCAUGUAUAAAACAGUCAUCUACAAUAUAGAUAACUCAUAAAAGACCACAUCUAUCAUUACCUACCAUUUUAAACAACUGUUUUAAAGAUGACUUUUUUUUUGGCCGCGUCAUUAUGUAUUUUUUUCAAGAGUCAUCUUUAUCGUUUAUGUUGUGCGAGGGCCUUUAAGUUUUGUACAUAUGUUGCCAUGUUCAUUAAUGAGCACUCUCUCUUCAAUUAUUGAUUGUACCCUAUCUUUUGUUUUAUAUUUAAUUUGUCGACACUUUACUGUCUUUACCCGAUUACAAUUUUUGUUCUGUUAUGAUGCUUUUCUUUUUCUUAAAAUGCACACUUUGACACAAGACCAUUAAUCUGCUCGUCAAUCUCAAGUGUGUAUUAUUGCAAUUGAUUGCUUUCUCACCCUUCAUUAACCCAGAAAAUCCAUACAUCCUUGCCCAAAUUACUGCCUGCUCAUUACCUUUUAUACCAAUAUUUUUUUCAUCCCUAACCUGAGAAAAGAAGUUGAAUAUGGCCGCGGAAACUGUUGCUUCAGUUACCCAGCCUAUUGCGGAGAAGAUUGUUGACGUGUUGUUCAAUGCAACCGUACGUCAGUUUGGUUACUUGUGUAAGUACAAACGCAACAUUGAAGCGUUGAGGACGGAAGCAAAGAAGCUCACAGACAGAAGAAAUGACUUGCAAGCGGAAAUUGAUGCUGCAACAAGAAAUGGAGAAGCUAUUAAAGAUGAGGUUCAAAGAUGGAUAGCAGAAGUUGAUGAGAUCAUUCCAAAAGCUGAAAAGUUUUUGGAGGAUGAGGUGAAAGUAAACAAGAAAUGCCUUGGCGGGUUGUGCGUUGAUCUCAAAUCACGUUACAAACUCAGCAGAGAGGCAGAGGAGAAGACUCUGGCAAUUUCUGGUCUCAUGGCUGAUGGAAAUUUUGGAAAAGAUGUGUCUCGUCCUGCUCCUCCACCAGCAAUAAUAUCUUCGUCUGAAGGAUUCUACGCUUUCAAUUCCAGGGAAUCAGCAAUGAAGGAUAUAAUGGAGGCCAUGAAGAAUGAAAAUGUCAGCAUAAUAGGAAUAUGCGGAAUGGGGGGUGUGGGGAAGACCACACUAGUCAAGGAAAUUCAGAAGCAAGCAAAAGAAAUGAAGAUGUUUGAUGAUGUAGCGAUGGCCGUUGUGUCUCAAACUCCAACCAUUACCAAGAUUCAAGACGACAUUGCUGGCUGGUUAGGUGUUAAAAAACUGCCUGACAAUGACGAGUCAGCAAGAGCUAGUUUUUUGUGGGAAAGAAUCAAAGAGAAGCAGCGAGUGCUUGUCAUAUUGGACGACUUAUGGGGGCGUAUAAAAUUGUCUGAGGUUGGUAUUCCUUACGGGAAGGAUCACAGAGGCUGUAAUAUUUUGCUCACAUCUCGAUCACGUGCCGUCUGCAAUCAAAUGAAUGCUAAUAAAAUUGUUGAAGUCGGAACUUUAACGAACGAAGAAUCCUGGAGCCUUUUCAGGGAGGUAGCUGGUCCAGAAGUUGAUAAUCUUGAAAUAAACCCGACUGCAAGAGAGGUGGCUGACGGGUGCGGUGGCUUGCCAAUUGCGAUUCUCACAAUAGGAACAGCGCUGAAGGAUAGAGACAAGCAUGUUUGGAAAGAUGCAGCCGAACAACUCAAAAGUUCCGCCCCAACGAACAUCGAAGGGAUGGAAGAGUUUGUAGUGUCACGCGUGGAGCUGAGCUACAAUUAUCUGAAAAGCGAGGAGGCAAAAUCAAUCUUCCGACUCUGCAGCUGCUUUCCAGAAGAUUACGAUAUUCCAAUUGAAGUGUUGGCGAGAUACGGAUGGGGUUUGAGGUGCUUACAAAACGUCGAUUCAGUGGAGAAGGCCAGAGGCAGAGCACGUAGUGCUGUAAGUACCCUUAUCUUUUCUUAUUUGUUAAUUGAUGGUGAGGAGGAAGGGUGUGUUAAAAUGCAUGACGUUGUGCGUUAUGUUGCACAACAAAUAGCGUCUAAAAAUAAGUUCAUGAUUAAGGCCGGCGUCGAGCUAAAAGACUGGCCAAGCAUAAAUACAUUUGAAGAUCUGACUGGAAUCUCAUUGAUGUUCAAUGAUAUUCAUGAGGUACAUGAGGGGUUGGAGUGUCCAAAGCUCCAAGCUUUAUUCCUGCAGGAAAAUUAUCACUUAGUCAUUCCUGACCCAUUUUUUCAAGGGAUGAAAGAUCUGAAAGUUUUAGACUUGGAAGGAAUCCGAAUGGUUUCACCGCCUUCCUCACUUUCAUUCCUUAGUAACCUCGGAACUUUAAGUCUUCAUGAUUGCCGUGGCUUGGGCGACCUAUCUUUAAUCGGAGAGUUAAGUAGAUUAGAGAUUCUUGAUCUUUCAGAAUCUGAUGUAAGUGAAAUUCCGGUCAGUUUUGGACGAUUGGGUCAUCUAAGAUUGUUGGAUUUGACAGACUGUGAGCACCUAGAACUAAUACCCCGAGGUGUCCUCUCUAGCCUUCGUAAGUUAGAGGAGUUAUACAUGUCAGACAGUUUUUGCCACUGGCAAUUUGAGAGCGAAGAAGAUGCAAGAAGUAAUGCCAAAUUUAUUGAGUUAGGGGCCUUGAGUCGACUCACUAGUUUGCAUAUUGACAUCCCGAAAGGCAAAAUCAUGCCUUCUGACAUGUCCUUCCAAAAUCUGACAAGCUUUUCGAUUACAAUUGGUGGCCUUGAGGAGGACCCUCUCAGUGAUUUAAUAGAACUAUUUUUGGAAAAAUUUAAGAAGAGAUGCUCGAGAGCAAUGGGACUUUCACAGGACAUGAGGAUUUCAGCGCUACCUUCUUGGAUUAAGAAUUUGCUGCUCAGAUCAGAGAUUCUUGCUUUGGAACAAGUCAACGGUUUGGAGAAUACAGUCUCGGACCUAGCUAAUGAUGGCUUUAACGAAUUGAUGUUUCUAGCAAUUUUCGGCUGCAAUGAGAUGAAAAGUCUCUUGAACUCAUUGGAAAGGACAC